rnacentral:lncRNA from 1 species
UGCACGCUGCUGCUACGCAUACACUAAUUCACAGCGCCUCGGGCUGCGCACAGCAGAUACUUCGCUCCCGUCCCCCCCCCCCCGCGUGCCCCUAUUUCAGCCCCUCCGCGCCGGGCCCCGCGGGAAACUUUUCCUCUCGCGGCACACCCAGCCGGCCCCGGCGGUGGGGCAGCGGCGCGGGGCGCGCACGGCCCCUUUAAAUUCCAGCUGUGCGGCGGGGGGCAGCACCGCUGGCGGCGCGGCGCGGCGCGGGCUGGGGCCGGGGCCGGCUGCCGGUGCGCGGCGGCGGGGAGCGCGCAACCUGCGCCCGGGGGAGGUAGCGGCUCCGGCGCCGCGGUCCCUCGCGGAGGCGGAGAGGAUGAGGGUGGCUUCUGGCUGCUUUUUUUGCCUCCUCGAGAUGAUUUCCAUAGUAACCUGAUCGAGCGGUGCAAUUUCGGAAACUGGGGUGGCUUUAUUAUUAUUAUUAUUAUUAUUUUUAUUUUUUUUCCAUUUUUUUCUCCGCUUCUUCCCUCCCACCUCGUCGGCCCCCGAGGAGUGACAGGCGGCAGGUUCACAGUCAGAAUGUGACCUUACAUAAAAUGGAAACCUGUGAAGAAAGUCACAGAUAGCAGCUGUGGGUAGUACUGGAAGAAUAUUUAUCUUCUUAAGCAUCAGCUUUUUAAAACGCUAUGGUGAUUUGGAAAGUCCCAAGAGUGAACUGUGAAGUUUUCUUCAGCUCGUUCAAUGGAUUUCUUAGGCAUUUCUACAAAUCAUUGAUGUCUAGAGAUGAUGUGUGAUGGAAAAAGCACCCUGCCUGUGCGUUUAUAGCCCCUGUUUUUUGGAUUAGUUUGCUGCAUUGCUGAACCAAUUUUGUUUUGAGGGCAAGGAGUGAAUGUGAUGGAUUUAUCUUCAGAGAUGAACAAACAUGGAAGGAAUCCAGUAAGUCACAAACUAGAAGAUCAAAAAAAGGUAAGGUUAUUUUAACGUGUACUUAAUUCUAUUUUAAUGGAUUGCAAACUCUUUUAAUAUUAAAACUGAAAAUCAGCGUGCUUCCAUGGAAAAGGUAAUUUGCCAUCAUUCAACCAGCAGUGAACUGCUGUGAGGGACUGAGUUUCUUCAUUGUCUAGUAAUUUUGUUUCUAAUACUGCCUGAUUGCCUGCUAAUUUGUGUUAACAGCUCCCUGAAUUUGACUGGAAAAUUGUUUGGCGAAAGUGUUACUUCGUUGCUGUCUAUCAGUGUUUCCUUCAUGUCAUAGACCUGCUGAAGCGGGCUGAGGUCUGAGAGGUCUUUGUACUUAACACGUAUGGGUAGACUCUUCUAGUUGCAUCCUACCAAUAGUUCCAUAUAAUUGGGUUUUGUGAUAAUUGUUGCUGUUCAAGUUUCAUCCUUUGGUAACCAAGGCAAUUAACACAUAUAAAUUCACAUUUCCUCACUAUGGGAAAUUCUUUCGUACAUCCCACUUCUAUAACAAACUGUUCCAAAAGAUUCACCUUCCUGGCUCAUCUGUUUUACUCAGACUAUGGUCUGGAGGUUUUUUUUCUACUGAUUAUUUCAUACACUUCAAUUUGAUGCUUUUUAACAUCUUCAGGUUUUACUUCUGCUUUCGCAUGCACCCAAUGGCAACCAGCAGAGGGUUCAUUCUGGUGUAGCAUUUUGUGGCUGUUGCCCACUUAAUAGUGGGCCUUAAAAUGAGUGUCCUCUUUGAAUUAUUGCAUAGGUUCAGGGAGUCUGUUAACAUCCAAAUCAUAAAUUAAAAUACAGAUUGCGUACUCUAUUAUUACACAUUAUUAGAAUAUGUGUUGCUGUUUUUUGGUUGUUUGUUCUUUAGUUUUUGGUAUGGAGCCACUGAGUACUGUUUCAAGUUCUUUCAGUCUUGUUUGGGAAAAAAUAGAAAUGAGGGGAACUUAUGAGCACAUAAUGAAACUUUUUAAGUCCCAGAAAAGCUAAUAUUUGGAUUUUGUACCUCUGAAAUUAGUAUGUAUUAAUCUAAGUUAUUCAGUCACAGCUGAUUUUGAAGGCACAUACGUUUUGAAGUGCACAGAAUUGCUGGAAAUGCACCAUGAUAAUACGUGUGAUGAAAUUACUGAGAAGAUAUAUGCAGACAUGAGCAGGAUCUUUGUAAUGGAAAAGAUACAGAAGACACAGAAGAUAGCUGGCUUAGAGCACGGGACUUUCUCCAAGUCCUCAUUCCCACCCUUUUGUUGCAUAAAAGAAAAGCUGAGAAAUGUUAGGGUUAAUCUCAACGUCUGUUGAACUGUUUUCUGAACCGUUAUUAUCUGAUAUGGAAUUCAGUAUGCUCUAAGGUUUUCUUUUUCCCUCCUUUCUUUUCCUUCUCAAAGGGGAUUUUGCGGAUUCACUUAUAGAGACUGACUCUUCCGAUUGCCUAGGAGUAGAAAGAUUGUUUCAAAGAGGUUCUGUGGCACCUUGGGGUCAAAUUUGUCUUUGAUUGAGCUGGAGGGUAUUUUGUCCAGCCAUAGAACUAUGACAUGAUCGCUAAAGACUCCGCAACGGUUAGCAAUCUUUGGUCCUGUGGCAUGGUUGAUGCUGAAGAAAACAAACAGAAGUCUGGUUAGUUUUCAUUAUGUACAGGAAACCUAGCUAGAAAUUUCAUCCCUUUGCUAUGCUAGCACCUGCUUUUUUUUUUCUUUUUUUUUUUUUUUUUAAAUGGGACAUGAACUUUUAUUAAAAUAAGACUAUGCAAGUGGUGGUAGUAAUUCAACAAUUUCUUUACAUUGAAUUAGAUGUAAAGAGUAUUUAGAAACACAUUGGGCAGAAAUAAGUGAAAUAAAAAUGGAUCGUUUUGGAAAAUACUGGCUAUCUUACUGUCAGAAAUAGAGGCCAUAUUGGUGCUGUACCUGGGUCGGGCAGAAGUCAAGCUGAAUCUCUUCAGAGAGCUUGCGUUCUCAUAAAGAGAAGAAAAAUACUGUUUCCUGGGAAGAUUCAGCUGCUCUAUUGCUGCAGUAUGUAUUGCCACUGGACUGCUUUUGCACGGGGAAUUUGGAAAAGAAAAACAAAAUGCAGAAAAAUACUUUUUUCCGUGCUAAUUAAACAUAUAAAACUAAUAAGGUGGUUUUAAAAAUGCAGAGUAGACUUUGGCAUUUAACUAUUCUAAUAAUUUCAAAGGAUAGUGUGAACCAUAUAGUUGCUUUCCCUAAGUCUGGGUUUGGGCCUAGAGGGCUACGUUUAUACUAUUUUCAUUUUGCUAAUGUAUGAAUUGUAAUGCUUAUAGGAUGCUCAGAUAUGCUCCUCAUCUCAAAACACAUGAAAUGCUAUCAUUUGCAUUUUAAAUAGGUGCAUACUAAUUUUAUGAUUGCAGAACUGUCAAGCUCCGCAGUCUUUUUGUGAUUCCAGGACAUGAUGAUGUUUUACUGAUUUCUGUCAAUAUGCUGCUUGCUUUUGUAGGUCUGGCAGGCAUACCCAGCUGGACUCCUACUCAGUUUUUUGACCUCAUAAUGUACAAAACAAAAGGAGAGACUGUAUUGUCUGCAUGGAGGCAGUAGUCCAGUUUCUGUGUCUGAAGUGUUGGGGAAAGGGAAACAGGCUAACAGAAGGCAGUUCAUAGACAAAAGAGAUCUCAGGAAUAUCACUGUAAUCAGUUAAUUUGACUUCCGAUGGAACACAGACAUGGGAUUUCCAUUUGCAGAUUUUUUAGCUGGGAGUGAAGAUUCAGGAAAUGAGCUGGAAUGGACAGAUUUGGGAUGUCCAUCACCUCUGCUUGAGGUCCAUGUGGCAACGGAUCUCUGUCCAAAAUGUGGCUAUCUUACCCGUGCACCAUGCUGAAAGUGCCAGACAUGCAGCUUCAUCUGUAUGGACAGUCGAGUUUAAAUGCUGUGCUUCUGCAUCUGUUUCCCAUGCAUGUAGUGCAGUGUGAUUUCCUAUUUUAAAAGCGUGGAAAUAUUCAGUGCUUUGGGACACGAAUGCUGCUAAGUAGCAAAUACAUUUAUUACCAUUUACUGCAGCGUACACAUUCAUGAUUUCAGUGCACAGUAAAUGGCAUAGAGAGUUAUGAACUACUGGUUUGAAUAACAGGUUUCAAUGAGAAACUUGCUGUAAAUAACCAUUUGAAAACCUGGAAAAGACUGAUUAAUCUGCAUUUCAUCAUCUAAUGGGAUUAUUCUGUUUUCAAACUCCAUGGAAAAAUCUGUUGUCUGUUGUCACAUGCAUAGUUUAUGCUAGCCAAACCUAUAAGACACAUAGCCACAUUUGUCUGGCUACUCCUUUAAUUUUAAUGUUUUUCCUCCCAAAAGGAAGUCCCAUUGUGGGCAUUUCUUUGACAGACCAUCCGAGCUCCUCUGUAUCUUGGAAGAGCACCUGCUGGCUGCAGGCAGGCAAAGCCAAGCCUUUGAAUGAUUCUGCAGCUGUGGCCUUGUUGAAGUCUGGAGCCCGAGAGCGCUUCACCUCGAGUGUAUGGGUACACGUGAGGCAACACACAGGCAAAUAACAUGGAUUAGAAUACCCUCGAGUAUCAUUUAUCUACUUGACCUUGUGUAAACUUGUAAAAUUGGUUCAGAACUACGGUAACGCACAAAAUGCUUCCCACUAACAAUAGUACUCCAUCUCUCAAAGAUUGGGCACAUCUGCUUUGUGGGCUAACAAAUUUACUGCUUUCUGUUGUUCUCCACUGUGUAGGCUGUUUGAGAGGAGGACAAACCUGCUGGGUCUCUGUCCUAACUCAUACCACAUGAUGUGUGUCUAGAUUUGAAAUCCACCACACAGGAUACAGUGAAGAAAGGAAGUUUAGUGCUUCAUCAUUACCACCCGAAUAUAUCUUCUAAUGUUAAAUAUGAGAAAACGUAGGGAUCUCAGUUAGUUUCAGAACAAAACACACUACUUCUGUCAGUCUUUCUGGACGCUGCUGAGCCACUGAGCUCAGAGGGUUUUUUAAUAGGCACCGUGACUGUAUUAUUGGGUAGUAAUUAAACAUAAUUAAAAAGCAGGAAUACCAAACAGUCCUUGACUACCGUUGGAUGUUUUGGAUUGAAUGUGUGCACAGCUCAGCUUAUCUCCCUUUGCAAAUUAACUAAACGUCCAAUAAUCAGUUAGCUUUUUGCUAAUAAGAUAAAAUAGGAGUCCAGCAUCAAAAUCAUCAGGCUGUCUUGAUAUGGAAUCUUUUAAAAAUCAAAUCAAGAGAGAAGGUUUUAAAAGGACAGCAGUCCAGCAAAAUGGGAGGAAUCAGGACUAUUCCUCCAUUCCCUGCCUACUUCAUUGUAUUCAAUAUUGAGCACAUGAAAUAUUUCAGGAAAAUCAGAUGCUAUCAUGAGACAUUUAGGCCAGGAGCACUGUUUGUUCUUGCAAACAUGCUCAUAUUGCUUUGUCUGUACUCCCCAAUUGCAUGUCUCCAUUCUUAAUUUAUUACUGAUGUUGUAGUCAGCCAACAAUCUUUUUUAACAGUAGUGGCAUUACAUAUUGGGUAGGCCACACUUGUUGCUAUUGUGACAAGCUAGGAUCUGGAUGGUGUUGCUUCUCUCCCUGAAAAGUUGACUUUUCCCAUCCUGAUUUUACUUCUGUCUCCAAGGUAGCUCUAACUGAGCUUUCCUUCCCCCCCUCACCAGUCCCUCUUACAUAUAUACAUAUAUUGAUAUGUGUAUGCUUUUUGCUUUGUUUUGUCCACCUGCUCAUCCGUGUCUCUGUCAAGAAAUGCUCUGCAAACAGCUGGAGGUCUGAAGAUCUAUCGAAGAGUCAGAGAAUCAUUAAGCUCAAUGUUCACUGUUAUCCCUUACCUCACAACAGCUGGCAGGUUUUUUUUCAGGUUAUAUAUUCAGGGUUUUCACCAAAAAUAGCAGAUUGAGUGGAUGGGGAGAAGUUUUCACAGCUGGGGGGAGAAAAUUGUUCUCUUCUUGGUUUAUUGUUGUUUCUUCUUUAAUACUUCCGAAUUCAGCAGAAAUAGGAAGAACGCAUCAAACAGAUAAGGAGAAAUUAGCUGUGGGAAUAACUGCAGUCGCUCUCCAAAUUCUUUCCUAAAGCUGUCUGUCACAUAUUACAUUCCUCUUUCCCUUAAACUGCCUCCCCCCAUACACCAGGAGUGUUCUGUUUCAAAAUUUAUGCUAGAAAGACUUGAAUGACUUCUCUCACUGUCAAACCUCCCCAGGGCCCCACCACCUGACUCCUCUCUCUCUCUAUCUCACUCUCUGAAAUUGUUCAGUGCACUCUGCUAGUGCAGCUGUUCUAAUUUGCAAUCUUUAUAGGCUCAAUAAAUGGUAUUAAAUAUCAUUUUGUGGAAUAUGAAACUGAUAUUUAAUAAUUCUUAAAGUGAAUCCUUGCCCUCUGAAUGCUUACAAUCUUUGUUUCUCUUAUUAGAGAACCAUGAUGCAAAUAUGAGAGUACCCACUUCUUUAUUAUGCUUUUUUUCCCCCCUCUUCUUUGUCUUUCCUAACUAAUUAUCUGCAAAGAAAUGUCAAUUACAGAGCAGUAUUUUGACCCAGUGCUGCACCAAAAUAGCUGAAAUGCUAAAUACUGGUUAAUUCAUUGCUUUCAUAAAACAACACUGGCUGCGUUUUUUAUUUCAGCAGUAUGUCUUGGUUUCUUAGCUGCUUCCUUUCUACUCAAUGUCAUCUUGCCUGCUAACUGAAUAAAACUCAUUCAGGAAUACCAGGUAGAAGCUGUACCAGGACAUCAUCACCGCAUGGCUGGAAGAACCUCAGCUGCUUUGCAGUUGUUUGUUCUGGCAGAUUUUUGCGUAAUCAGAUAGCUGAAACGAAUACUAUUUUGCAUGUACGCUACAGCAUAAUUUGUGAUACGCACUACAGAGUGAGUGUAGAAGAAGUGAAGAGUAAGAAGAAGUGGAGUGAGAAGAAGGUGGCUUUUUGUUUGGGUUGGUUAUAUAUAAUUUUUUUUUUUCCCCCAGAAGUGAUACAAUUACUUGCUGUCCUGUAGGCCUUCUGCUACUACUAAAGGCAAGCUUUCAUAUUUCUACCAGUUACAUUAGUGUGUAUUAGUAGUCAGUAUGUAUACAAAGGUAAUAUUAAACAUUUUUUUCUCAAGCUGUUUUACCCAUUCUAGAAUAAAGUACAAUGGCUGGAAGCAAAACGCAGUGUAAUUUCUGGAGGCGGUAUUUCAUGACUGCAUCACUUUGUAGGACGCUUUGAUGGUAACAAAUUAUCUACAAAACUUUCAUUUGCCAACUUUGAAAAAGAAAAAAAAAAAAAAGUAAAACAAACGCCAGUAAGCUGGUAAACAGAAUCACAUGGCUUUCUUUUCCACUCUUUAAGAAGUAUUACUGAAUAAUAUUAACCCUCCAUUACCAGCGAUGUUUGUCUUGAAAUUGUCAUAUGGGAAACUGUUGCCCUUUGAGGAUGACAUGCUACAAUUAGGAGAGGAUUUUGCUGCUGAAAUAGUUUGCAACACUGUCCUGUGUUAGCCUUUGCUGUCUGAUCAUUAUGGGGGUGGUCUUAUAAUGAGUUAAUGAGUGCGUUAGGGAGCCAACUAUUAAAUCUUGUGGAUGAUCCUGUAUCAAAGUGGUCAUUCGGAGUGAAAGCCUACUUUCUUGGCUCCCUUCUCAUGAAUGUUGAACUUGUCAUGGGAUUGUUUUCUAUUCUAAACAGACUUUACAAAAAAAGACUAAAAAAACCUGAUAGCCAACAUUCAUAGAAUCAUAGAAUCAUAGAAUCACUAAGGUUGGAAAAGACCCACAGGAUCAUCCAGUCCAACCAUCCGCCCUUCAUCAAUGGUUCUCGCUAAACCAUGUGCCUUAACACAACAUCCAAACGCUCUUUAAACACCACCAGGCUCGGUGACUCCACCACCUCUCUGGGCAGCCCAUUCCAGUGCCUGACCACCCUUUCAGAGAAGUGGUAUUUCCUAACGUCCAGCCUGAAUCUUCCCUGACACAGCUUGAAGCCAUUCCCUCUCAUCCUAUCACUAGUCACCCGGGAGAAGAGGCUUACCCCCAGCUCACCACAACCUCCCUUCAGGUAGUUAUAGAGAGGAAUAAGGUCUCCCCUGAGCCUCCUCUUCUCUAGACUGAACAACCCCAGCUCCUUCAGCUGCUCUUCAUAAGGUCUGUGCUCCAGACCCCUCACAAAAUAUCACAAAAUAUUGGAACAACAAGUAGAAAUAAAGUCAACCUUCUUCUUACCCUAAUGCCAGAGUUGUGUGAAUUUCUGAAGGAAAAAAAGAAAAACUCAAUAGCAUAGUUUUGAUCUGAAUGUAACUUCACUUUUUUUUCAGUUUUCCCCCCACCCCCACCCUUUUUUUUUUUUAACUUUAAUUGUUGCUCUACUUCUGUAUUGAUAAAAGGUUCGUUUGUGUUUAUGGACUGGUAGAAUCGUACAGAAAAAUGGUGGUUGUCAGCACGUUUGUUUGGCUAUUUUAUCGACAUCGUUCUGUACUGUUACCUUGAGAUUUUAAUUGAAUCCCAAACUCAGGUCAAGGAUUCUGCUUUUUCUGCAUUCUUACAGCAGAAACGAAGCAUUGUGGGUGCUGUGGAAUCUCUGUCUCAUGGAUGGCAGUCUCACUUAUUUUCUGUUUUAAUUCCCCUGGAGCUGUAGUUAUUGACACUGUAAAGAGAAGUGUCUUCUGCUGCUGUAUACGAAGAAAUAAACCAGUGGGGGAGUGUACAGCAAUGUACCUUUGCGGGAGGGAUAUAAAGACCUUUUUUUAAGAGCGAUGUAUAUGUGCUAAAGCAAGAAGUCUCUUGGGAGACCGUUGUGGGCCUGCUUGUAAAGCAGAGUUGUAAUAGCCUUUUAAACUCAUUCUAGAUAGGUCUGGCCUUAUGCAUCCAUAUCUGGGAUUGUGGUCUUAAGCUUCUGUACAGAAACAUCUGAUGGAAUCAUGGAGUGAUUACCAGCAAAACUGGAUCUUGUUUUCCUGGAUACAGUAUGUGAAUUCACCCUAUGAGUGGAGAGACUGAGAAAGAAUUGACAAAGUUAGGUGUAAAUACAGAAAAGAUGCACAGAUGUUUGAAGCCUAGUUUCUACAAGUGACUUUUCUAAUGCUUUUGAAUGCUUACUGCAAGAAAUGCAUGUGGAAGGAAGCAACGUGCAGAUUUAGGGUAAAGACAUACUGUCGAGGCUCUCUGAGUCACAAUAUUGUCGCCGUAUAAGACUCUACUUUGUUAUACCCAGAACUUAAGCAUGAGAGUGCAUACCUGCUGCAUCACAAUAACAGGGUACUUCUGGGAAGUGCUUUGUUUUUGUUUGUCAGUGCUCAGGUAGUGGUAGUAGCUGUUCUCCUGUGAUGGAGUACAAAUGAAUGCAAAAGCAGGAAAGAACGUCACACAUGGGUAGGAUUUUCUUUUCAGUGUAAAAUUUCUCCUUUUUCCCUGCUGUUUGUUCACAGCAAGCACAAGUACAUCCACGAGUAUCCUUGAGUAUAAUUGCAUGUAUACACACAAACUAAGAUUGCGAGAAGAAAAAGCUGAUAGAGCCAUGGAGUUUAAUACCAGUGUAUUUCAUCUACUUGGCAGCUCUGGUUUGAGGGAAGGGGAACAAAACAAAGCCACCUCUCCAGCACGCAGGCAAACUUUUAGGAUACAGCCAUGUUAGUAAACUGAAUCUCAGAACGUUACCUAUUUUUGGUGGUACGUUUAGAUGCAGUAAAUCUUUGUUUCAGUAAGCAAUGCUGCGUGGAAAAUCCAUACAUUUUUUUCAAUUAUAAAAUUUCUCAACAUCUUCUAGAAUAGUCAGCAUCAGGCACAGCUAUUUCCUUUAACAGCACUUUCACCUGAGUGCCUGAACCCAGGCAGCAGGACAGUCCUUGGCAUCCAGGGCUUUACCUGAAGGUACAUCACAGAGCAGCUGCUCUUCCAGUUCAACAUUUAUCGUUCUUGAAGGAAAAACAAACCUGUGGUUGAAAUGCGAGUCAGCAGGCUGUCUUUAAAGGUUGGGCUCUUGAUAUUUAUUUAUUUAUUUAUUGUCUGCUCCUUCUUUCCUUCUGUUGUUGCCGCUGCUAUUGUUUUCUCCUUCCUGUCAGGUGUAUUCUCCUUACCUGUCAUCUUCCUGCUAUCCCUGCCACAUGGCUUUUGUCCUCUAUCUGUUUGUUUUUGUUUUCCUUCUCCCUUGCUCAAGUUAACUGAGUUUAUCCUCUUUCCACUAUGCAUCCCCACACAUAGAGAUGUGUAUGAAAGUACACAUGUACUCAAUUACAUGAGUAUUUUGAGCAGAUGCUUGCAUAUAAAGAUGUGAUAUGGACAGUCAUAUGUAGGACAAUUUCCAGCAUAACUGUACAUUAAAAUGUUUUGUUCCUGUUAUAUUCCAUCUGUUUCUUGAUUUUUCUGGGAAAUAAUACCCUUAGUUCAGAGUCUUUGCAAUCCUGUGUGUGCAGUUGAAGGUGAGCAGUACUUAGGGCAGGAGACAUCUAUUUUUAACUGGGAUAAGUUGUUCUUAGUUCUCAAUAAAAAGACAACCUUACGAUACUGACCAUUCCUCCUUUACCUUACUGAUAGGGAACUGUGUUAGCAAAUCUCUUUCUCUGAAUACAUAAAGUGAUGGCAAUAAGCUGCAUGGUAAGUCUAUGUAGGGAGUGUAAUUAGUUUUCAUUGUGGUUGGACUAAUUUUACCAAUAAAACAGGACUAGAGGGAAGCUGCCAAUAACUUAUUUUUUUAAUUGUCGGGUGUAAACACUGUGUCCAUGAUUUGUCAUUUAUAAGGGCUAAUUUCCAGAUGUUCUUUUUGGCUCAGAUGCAGAGGCCAGAUGACUUUGUGUUUGUUGUUGGCAUCAUAAAUGAGAAACAAAGGAGAGUACAGUACAGAAAUGUGCAGUGAUUCAGUGUAGUAACCUCUAGAACUCUGAGAUGCCAUGAAGCACUAAUACACGUGGUACCAGCGGUGGGCAUCGCUUUAAAACAGAUUCUACCUAUGGCUGCUACAAACUGUGCUCUGAUAUCAUGAAGGUAUUUCCUACUUUCCUGAUGCAUGCUGAUGGUGAUGGGGGUACAUAUUGACUUCUCGAUGGUGAUAUCUUUUUCUUUUUAAAUAUGCUGAAUUAAGCAUAAAUUACCAUACACAGCUGUCAUUUUUAUCUCUGAGGUAGCAGAUUAAUAUUGAAGCCAAGUUACUGUAAGUUUGUUUGUCAGAAUCUGCUGUUUUUGGAGCAGAAAAACUGUUGCUGCUUUGUGAAAAACCAUCUCUAGAAAUGGCUUAUUAAUAAUAUAUAUAUGUCUAUUGCUAUAUUACUGUUGCUGCUGUAUCACUUUAGGAAGGAUGAUGUGAGUAAAGCUGGAGGCAGAAAGGCUAAAGAUCUGCUUCUCUUUCAGCUUUGUCAAUAUUCUUCUUGCCCUCAGGGAAGUUGCUUAAACUCAGUUUUACCCAUCUGUAAAAUUAAAAGAUCUGAAUCAUUGACCAUUGAUUUUUCUCAGAGCAUUAAGAUCCUCAUAUCGAAGGCCUUGCUAGUAUUUAAAAUAAAUGCACUGCAGUUACAGCUAUUUAUCUGCAUUGUGGCAGAGGAGAGGAUUCUCAGUCAUGAAUCAGGACAGAGCUGUGCUGGUGCUGUAUGAACCCAGAACAAAAAGACUCUGUCUGGCUUGAAGACCUUACAGUAUUGUGGUUGUUCCCCUUGAUUACCCUCUUGAAUUUAGUACCCAGUAGUGGAAUACACCUUUUUUUUCCAGAUAGAAUGUCUAUAUGAAAUCACACAUCACUGAAGAAGGAAGUUGUACUAUGUGUGGGUGAGAAGGGAGAGGUUUGUAUACGUAAAGGAAAGGCUCUGCAGGCUUUGCCUUAUUGUCAUCCUUUCCAAAAAUUCACAGUACCCUGACUGUUAAUGCAUUACAUCCAUAUUUUCAUCCAAUUUUCUGAUUUCUCUUCACUGCAGUCAUAUGAACACCACUUCAGAAUUUCAACAGUCUCUUCAGCUGUGCAUUAAGUGGGGGUUUAUGUUCUAAAUUCAUUGGACUUAGUAACUAAACUAGAACUCACUUUGCUGUCAUUGUCGACUGCCAUAUGACUAAUUCUUACAGCGCCAGUUACUUGUUCUAUUUAUUUCCGAAUGACCACUUAAACAAAUCAUAUGAGAGGAAGAGAUUUAAAUGAAUCAGCGAAGGAGGUGGAAGAAAGAGAUAAUAGAAUAAAAUUACAGAAUUUUCCAAAAUGUUUUCCUUUGUGGCUCUAGACAGCUGGGACUUUGUUCUUCUUUGAAAGCAGAUGGAGCCGAUAACAAUGUGCUCUGGAGUUCUGCUCUAAAAGAUCUUUUCUGGCUCAAAAUCCAACGAAGCUCCCUUAAAAAAUGUGCCAGCAAUGCGAGCUCAUUUGUGGAAUUGCAUUACCUACAAAAAAGAAUUAAAUACUGCGUCAAAACAACACUCCUGAGUCAAAGCUGUCUGUUAAGGAGUUAACACUGCAUCUAGGUUUAAUUGAUAUCCAUUGGAGAAAAAGACUGUGCUAUUCUGUGCUACUCCAUGCUCAGCAGUAAUAAGCUAAAAUGGAAUGUAAACAUUACAAACAAAGAUGAUCCCAAGAGCAAAAUUGCUGAGUGGAUCUGCAAUUCAAAAGUGUCAAAGAGUGAUUAUGGAGAUCUCCGAGUUGAUUUUAGCCCAUCAUAAGCAGAAAUAGAGACUGCCUUCUCCUUUGCUCUCAUCUCCUUCUCUGUGUUUUAUUUGCUUCUUUGUUGGUAUUGCUAUAAACAAACUAUUAAGCAUAAAACCCGUGGCAAAAUACCCUUAACUUUAACCUUUUAAUGUUAGCCUUUUCCUUGCCAUGUAUUUAUUUGUUUAGAUGGACAAGGUGAUUAAGACGAAGUCAUCUCCACCGUAUGUCUAAUAAUUGAAAAUUUGAUCUGUCAAAAAUCUGGUGUUAUCUCGAUAUGUCAGUACAUGGUACAGCUAUAGAAAGGAAGGCGGAGUUGCCAUUUGUUAGCAGAACAGCUGGCAUUACAGACUGGAAGUUGUAUUCUCCAGGAAUUCAUUUUUUUACCAAGGUAGGUUCAAUCACAGAUUUAAACCAUUAAAUUUACAGCUCAGGCUGUGCUGAUUGCUUGGCUAACAGCAGGAUUUCAGGGGAGAUAAAAGGAAAACUGUGCAACAUACGUUUGGUGUGGGGGGAGGGUUUUUUAUUAUAAUUUUUAUUUUCUUCCCCUGGUUUUCAGACUGACAAUUGCUCUGACAGCUGCCCAGGGAAAUCAGAGACUCUCCCGUAUGGGUAUCAGUAGGCUGUAUAUUUCUUCAGUUUGUCUCAUUUAUUUGUUCUCUUCCGUAGCAGGACUUUUCUUUUGAAAGCAACAACUGAAACCUCAUUAAGGGGGGAAAAAUGAAUCCAUCACUGUUAUUUAAUGUUUGCAAAAAUACUUGUUUACUCCAGUCAUGAGAUACUGAUUAAGAAGAUGUAAUUGGAGUGUGUUAAACUCCAUUUUUUUUCCCUUCUUUCUUUAAUACAGCGUAUGUUCAGGAAUUCUAUGGAGACAGCAUUUCUAGAAGUGCAUGAAGGGAUGGGAGAUGUGCAUGGUAAAAGCCUUUUUAGACUUGAGUCUUUAUUUCUCUUUGUAUUUUUAGUAAUGUUUAUUGUUUCUAGCUUUUAAUACCAUAUGUGGUGAUUGAAUUCACAGGGAAACUUUCGUUUCUUUGCAAGGUAUUAUGUGAUUGUCUUAGUACUGUAUCUACAAGCACACAACCUAGUAAGGGUUCCAGGCAUGUGCUAUGAAUGUUUGCUCCAAAAUAUUUGUCCUUAUAAAUUAUUCUCUGAACCAGUUCUCAAAAAUAAAAUCAGUAGCUGUGUAUGGGCUUUUUAAAGAGAUGUAGUAUUGGUGGCAGUCUCACAGUUAUGGUUGUGUUUAGGUUUACACUAUAACACUUCAUGGUAGUAACUCUAAAGUUUCCUAGACCUCUUAGAUAACAGUGGGAAUCUUUCCAGUAAAUUUGGCAGACUUUCUGCAAGGCCUUUCAGUUUUUGAGUGUGGCUCCAUUUUAUGAUGUAAAAUCUUUUUGAAACAUAUUAAAGAAAAAGGCCCUUAAAAGAGAUCUUUCUUGGGAAAGAAAUAAUACAUGAUUACUCACCAUAGGGGAGAAUUGCAAUCGUCAGCUGCCAACAUACGUAGAUUUUUGUGCAUGCAUACAGACUAUGGCCAACCUAGAGUCAGUUUGCCAAGCAAAUCCGUGUUCGUUUUCUAAAGCUGCCGAAGGCACAUCUGAGUCCGCAAUGCUUUGUGUCACCUGUAGGAGAGCAGCAGUGAACUUAAGUGGAAAAAAGUUCUAGUAAUGAAUUAAACAAAACCCAACUAUCCAAAAGCUGCUAAGAGAGUUCCUUUAUAGCUUUGUUAUUAAGACAACAACAAUAUAGGCUGCUUUGAAAAUAAGAUUAAAGCUUUUCCAAAUAGUGUUUUACUUGAAUGAUGCUCCUAAAUGAGGCUGAGGGUUGAUUGAAUUGCUUCUAAUAUCUCCUGGAUGAAACAUGUAUUGACUCUUCCUGAGAAAGCAUUACAAAUUCCCCUAAAUUCUUCAUCAAAUCCAGCUUAUUUUGAGAUUAUGGGAAGACAUGAGUACACAAGUUGAACUUGUACACAAGGCUCAAGGUGAUACUUGGAUUUCACUCACGUAUUAGUUCUCAUACAGUCAUUUUCCUUUUGGGAACUGGACAAAUUUCUUCAGAUCUAUUAUUAUAUUUUCAGAGCUUCCUAGCUUAUGCUUUAAAGUCAGACUACACCCAGCCUGCCUUGAUAUGAAAGAAGAUCCAUUAGCUAAAGUGGAGGGGUGUGUGUAGGCCCAGGUGUUAGAAAUGUCCUUUCAAAUGGGGCACUGGAACGGGCUCCCCAGGGCAGUGGUUACAGCACCAAGCCUGCAGGAGUUCACAAAACAUUUAGACAAUACUCUCAGAUGUAUGGUUUGAAUUUUGGGUGGAGCCCAAAAUUUAGGGUGGAGUUGGACUUGAUGAUCCAUGUUGUCCCUUGAUGAUCCAAGCGCUGUGAGCUUGAAGAGAGCAGUACUGGUGAGGUACUGUAUGCUCUGGGGUUCACCAAUUGGUGGUUGUCCUGCUGGCCAUCUGUCUGGCCCUACAUCUUGGGGGAGAAAGACUAAUGUCUUCUUAAAGAGAAGAUAACAGAUGAGAGCAAGAUAGAAGAGUAUGUUUCCCAGUCAUUGCUAUUACAAACCCCACCUGUUUUCUUCAUGGUCAAAGGUACCUCAGCUGUGUAGGCAGAAGAUGAGGAAAGAGCAUGUGAAGCUUAUGCAGAUGAGUUUUCUUUUGCUUUUAUAAUUUAUAUGGAAAGACUGUUGGAAAACUACUUACAAAUUUCAGGGAAUUGCUCCAAUGUAACCUAAUGAGACUUGUAUCUCUACAGAAAACUUAUCAUUCUUGAAUUUCUCAGUAUCAGAUUGAGCUUUGUUUGUGCAGUAGUUUGAUUUGGUCCCCACUCUCCAUGCUAAUUAAAAUACUGUGCUUGCCGUGUAUCAUAUUUACUCGUUUCUGCUAGGUGUAUCAACUUUGAGCAGUGUAGAAACUUAUCUUCUGUGUAGGAUGUUAAUUCACUUUUUUAAGCAGUUAGUGUUGCCAACAUAGGAUCAGCUGCUGUCUUAUUUUCAUACACACGUGCAUCACAUGUUUGUCUUGAAAACUCAGAUGCAGAAAGUGGAACUACAGGUUCCACUCAGGAUGAAAAUAUACUGGCAUGACAGUCCUCCCUGCAAUUUCAGAUAUAUGCAAGUGUCAGAUUAUUUUUUUCUACUUUCAUGGAGUUGAGUAUUACUUGAGAGGUGUAAAAUUCCAGUCUCUUUCAUACUGAGAGAAAUGCAGGAUGUGGCAAUACUGCUUUACAGUUUCAUAAAGUUGAAUUAUAGCAAGAAUUAAAUCAGAUUCUUUAAACAGUGUAGCUCUAAAGGCCACUGAAAAGAAAAUGAAAGAGUAGAUUAUCAGGGGAAAAGAGCAGAUUGCCUCCCUUAAAUAAAAAUCUGCAAAAAGUGUCACUGAAUGCACUUAAUCUCUUUAUCUUCAUCCUGGAGUUUUCAAACGAGAUUUUACCAUUAUUUGUGCAAAAAUGUAAAGAUCAAAGAAAUGUCUGUUUAUCUGGUUUGAUGAGAUUUUAUGAAAAGAUUAUGAAAAGAAAUUUGUAUUGAGAUGCAAUGGAUACUUGGGUUAAAAAGAAAAGAGAAGAAAAGAGAAGAAAAGGAAAGAAAAGAAAAAAGCUUGCAGUACUGAUUUUAAGCAGUAAUGAUUACAUUGUCUAAAAUUAUUAGUAUUGUUGAUGGCCAUUAUCCCCAGUACUUGGACUGAUUAUUUGUCACAUAGCGUCCACCACAGAGGAUGGGGAGACAUGUAAUAGGGGAAGAGUCAGAUUUUCUGCUCAUAGAAUGGAGACAGAACAAAUGAAAAAUUGGAGUAAUAGGGAUAAAGAUAGCUGCCGUGAGUCUCUGCAGCUCGACACUUUGCAUGACUGAGGACAAAGACAAAAAAGAAAAGCCAGAAAUGCCUGUGUGUUCCCACUGUAGCCCAAAAGCCUUGAAACUGCUGUCACUGAUACAGUAGUUGUGAACUACACUUGUCAAAUAUUUGGGUGAUGCUUACACAUUUUGGGAAUAUUAGUAUUUUUGUUACCAAAUUAUUUCUCUGUUGUCAAUUUCUCCUGUUUUCUUCUUCUUCAUCUUUUUAUCUUAGCCCCUCCCAUCCUCUUCCUCCCCAAUAUAUAUUAUCACAAAUUGAAACUGCAAGCAAUUAGGGAUAGCAAACUUAUUUUUUCAGUGUGUCUGUGCUGUGUUUGGUUAAACUAAGCCUUCAACCAAAGAAUUCACUUUUAGGUUAAUUAUCUUCAUUUUAUUAAAGGGUUUUUUUUUUUUUUAAUGCUAGUGGUUAUUUAUUUUUGCUUUUGUUUUUCACAGCUACUAAGAGCGUUUAGGUGGAGUCAUCCGUUAUUAUAGCAGAGGGUGGAGAUCCACCUCCUUUAGUGCUGUCAUUUUGCAAGUAGGUACCGCUACAUGUUUGCAUGCCAUAUGCAAAUAGUUCUCUUUGGCUUGGCCUUGACAGCAGCUGCCCCAGGGAAGAGUAAGUAAUUACUAGCAUUAUUUUUACUGGGUUUUCUCAUAGUAAUUUAUAUUCAGGAAGAUCUUUGGAGUUAUAGUCAGGGCUGGGAAGUCCCAUGGUGGUAGAUACUCCUUGCGUACAUACAAAUCAUAGACUGUAUUGAAAAAGUUGCAGUCUAAACAAACAUAAAGAGCAUAUUUUUGAGUGUCUAUUCUACUUCAAGCUUUUUCCAACACCAGGCACCUUCUUUUUGUUUUCAGUUACACAUAUUCCCACUAUACAAAGACACAUAUGCAUGUAAGCAUGCUGAAUAAAAUGUGGUAUUUGAAGGUUAUGUAUCUAACCCUAAGCUGGAUAUGUUUUAGUGUAUUUUUAGCACUAGAACAAAUUGAGAAUUAAAAUUAUGUUGGUGAUUUAGAAGGCUGUAGAAUGACAUAAUUUGAUGAUGUUAGUGCUUGUGUAGGUCUACUUUCAUUUAGAGACAUGGUCAAAGUAAUGCAGCAGAAAUGCUGGCUUUCUCAGGAGAAGAUGAUCCUACAGAUUCAUUUUCACUGAUAUGAUUAUCCCAAAGGCUUAAUGGAAGUGGCGAUUAAUCACAGAAUCAUUAAGGUUGGAAAAGACCCCUAACAUUAUCUAGUCUCCAACUGUCUACCUAGCACCAAUGUUACCCACUAAACCACGUUCCUUUGUACCUCCUCUACAUGUUUCUUGAGCACCUCCAGGGACGUGACUCAGCUCUUACUGGGGGCAUAAAUGUCAGGCACCAUAAAAGGGAAAUGAUGUAAGAUUGCUGCAUAACUUCACUGUGACUCAGGGCUUCUGGUACAAGGUCUGCCUGCCUUCCUCCUCCCCCCUAACCCUAAUAAUUAGAAAAAUAUUAUUAGUCUGUUAGCAAAUGGUUCUAAUUACCAUUGACAAGCUCUUAUUCAUUGCACUCUGUUGUUUUCAGGGGAAUGGAAACAGUACACAAACUCUUCUCGCUGAGCAGCACCUUCCAUGGCAGAAACAUGAACAUGAUUUAGGAUAUACCCAUAAACAUACAGACAUUAAAACCAGGGAAGAUCCACUGAUGAUGAAUCCCAUCUCUCUGCUAAGGAAAGCCUAUGCAGAAGUAUGCUUUGUGGUGUUUCAUUCAGAAUAACAUUCUUUCUUUCUUUCUCUCUUUUUUUUUGAAGAACUCCUUAGCAUCUACUUUUUGUUUUAUAUUGCACAAAAAUUUAAUGAUGAGUUUAACUCAAUUACAGAAUAGAUUUUGUUGCUGCUUUCGGAGAAAAAUGUACUAUGUUGUGUCUAACUUAAAUAUCCUCCUUCAUGUUUGUUAACUAUACUACUAUUAAGUCAUGGAAAGAUAGCAUAAGAAUAAUUUUUAUCUUCUUUUUUUCCAUGAAUUAAGGGAAGGUGCCUUAUGUGACAGGAAUAGGAUACUUGAAGGAGAAAAUGGUAAAAUAGCAAGGUUUAACUGCCUUCAUUAUUUGCAUUCCUCCAGUAGUGCCAGUCCUACACUAAAAUCUAGCAGUCCUAGUCUAAAGUCAGACCACAUUGUGCUUUUCACCAUACAAAACUGUAUGCAGAAAUGAUUUCUGUUUUGAAACCAGCACACCAGGCACAACAGCUCUAUGUAGGUAGACUGGGAAGAUAUAAUUAAUAUCUAUGGUUCUGCAUUAUCUUCCCUUCCCUUCCCUUCCCUUCCCUUCCCUUCCCUUCCCUUCCCUUCCCUUCCCUUCCCUUCCCUUCCCUUCCCUUCCCUUCCCUUCCCUUCCCUUCCUUCCCUUCCCUUCCCUUCCCUUCCCUUCCCUUCCCUUCCCUUCCCCAGUGAAUGCUUCAUAGCAGUGGUGAUUCAAAAGAGUUGCCAUAGUUGGAAUUCUUCUGAUUAAUGAAAAUGUUGGGAACUUGAGGCAUUCCUGACUUUGUAACCGAUAAGCAACUGCUCAUAGGGAAGAGAGGAGGUAAAGAAAACUUUUAAGUACUGCAAAGAUAAAACACAUUUGAAUCUACUGAAAAUGAUCUCUUCAUUUAUCCACUGGAGUACAUGAUAUGGUUUGAUGUCUGUACUGUAUCCUCAUGAUGAUCUGUCACAAUUAAAGUGAUGUCUGCUGGAAUAUCAGCAGGUUUGAUGAACUUCUCUCUGCAUGGAUAGACAGUUCUUGCAUUUGAAGUGAGAUGAUCUCUGAAUUAGAAGCAAGUAUAGAAAUUGAACUGAAACAAAAGUUUUAUAGUUAAUAGGAAAAUGUAGUGAUGUUAUAUGUUGUCAGCAUAAUAAUCUGUAUAACAAGAGAAUCAUUUUCACAUUGAUUACAUUGUUAUCUUGUGUCUCUAAUGAAGAUUUCUGAUUCCUCAUAAUUGGUUUAUGGAGCGCGUAGUCUCAAAAAUCUUAAGUCAAUUUGGCCAACAGCAUUUUAUUUUUAGUUCUCUUUAAAGAAGCAAAUUCUGUCAACAAAUGCUUCUUACGCUGUUCUUGCCAUGUUUUCUUUUUAGAUAGACAAAUGAAGUCAUAAUGUUGAGUAAAAAUGGUGUGCCAUUGAAUUUAGAGGAGGUCAGAGCUGAUUAGGACAAAAAGUGCUUCUAUAGGUUAAAUCACAGCACAGUUUGGGUGAUCAACUGCUUGUAAGAGAAUCGGCCCUGAUAGGAAAAGACAGAUAAACCGUUAUAAUAACCCCUGCUUGUGUCUGCAUCUUUGCGACUGCAGUGUGCUACCACAGUUUGUAUGACUAUUUAUGGUUGUACAAAUCCAAAUUCAACUAUUUUUACUUUUGUGAGUAACAGCAUCGUUAUACAGUCGCUCCUAAAUAAUUUUGCUCUGUAGAAUUAUUGGCUCGUCUUUGAUUAAACUGCCUUUAGCUAAAUCUGUGCAAUUACAGUGGAAGAUAAGAGGCUGUUGUCUGAGAACAGCUGAAGUCAAAAUGUAAAGACUUUUAAGCCACACAUAAGGCGCUGAGAAUAGAAUUUGAUCUGCAGAAGUUAUUUUCUCCAGUUGGUGUACAGAAGCGAAAACAAAAAGUCCGGUUUUCAGCUUCAAGGGAGCGUGUAAAAUGUUUGACCCCAAGAACAUCUGAUGUGGAAAAUACGGCAAAAGUACAAAAUGCUUUGUACAAAAUUACAUUUUGCUUUCAAAAGUGUCAAUAAAGUAGCACUGCUGUUGAAUACAGCAGUGAAAACUCAGUAUUUUGUUAUUUCUAGCCUUUUCCAGUGGGCGAGGUCUGCAACUUUGCAUUUCAAACAUACUGACCAACUGUUGGUUAAAAAGCUUGUCCAGGUACUGUACAAAGCUCAGAGGGGGAGCAUUUCUGAAGGAUGUUUUGUCUUCUUUCUCUUGUCAUCCCCACUCCCGCAGCCAGGAAUAUAUAUACAUAUGCAUGUAUAAUGAUUGCUUAUUGUUGUUAAUUCAAAGGACUACUGAAUUGAAAACGCAUUUACUUUUUAUAAUUGCCUCUUGCUCCCAUCCCACAAAAGAGAAGAAUAAAAAGAAAAUGAGAGCUUUAAGCACUUACUCUUCUAGUGUAACACUAGUAUUUCGAACAGUGCAUUUGACCUUUGAGCAAAGGAAAACAGAAUAUUGAUGUAUGUCUAUGCUCAUCUCUUUCACUAGGGUUUGCUUUUGAUCCCAGUGAAUUUAUGAAAAAGCAGUGUAAGUGGACUCCACAUAUUUAAAGUUUACUUGGUAUUUUUAAGCUAGAGAUGAUAUUUCCAUCUUUCUUCUAAAAAAUCAGUCUUUCAAAUUAGAAGAGAUGUGUAUUCUCUGUGUAUUUUUUCCCUGGGGCUUGAUAGCUAGAGCUCAGUUGUGCUUUUUAAAUGAAUUUAGCUAUCAGCUUUCAAUUUUUCAUGCUGUAUUUGAGACUUGUCUGUAUUUUCAAUGAGCGUUACUCUUUCUAGCAAAGAUGUGAUGUUAACAAUGUCUUUGCCAUACUCCUAAUCUAGUUAUGUGUGGCUGGAGUCUCAAUGAAAAAGAAUGAUUUUCUGUUUCUAUUUUUGCUCAGUGCUGAUGGCCUUUUUGAUCUGCUAUUUUAAAGUUUAUCUCAUUUUUAAGCUAAUAGUAGACUUGGAGAUAUAGAUUAAAAUUGCAACCAUGCAAUUACUAUUUUAAUCUUUCUGAAAAAUUCGUUGAUAGCUUUAAAAUGCUUUGUAAAUGCAGCAAUUACUAUAGCACUGAUAAAAGAAUCCACUAAAAUUAUAACAAAGAUAGUAAGUGAACGUUGACGCUCUUGUGCUAUUUACUAUGUUCUGCUGUCCAUCUACAUUAUCAGAUUUUUGUAUAUAAAUAUAAACCCGUGAUUAAUUUUUAUUUAAUACUACAGUAAGUAAGGUAUGGAAGUCAAAGUCUUUCAGUGUAACCAUGCUUCCACUGAUGGUGGAUGAUGUGUUUAAUAGAGCACAAGUUUUAUGAUUUAAUUUAAAUGUAUUCUUCAGAAACAAUUCUGUCAGACCUCAAAAAUAAAUAAGUGUGUAUACAGAACAAGAACUGACAGGAAAAGACAUUUGGAAGGCACUGAAGGAGAAUGAAUCAAUUUGCUGAUGCAUUAUUGCUAUUCUGAUGUUGUUUUUUUUAAUAACUUUCAGGCAAGCAGCUGAUACUGUGGGAAAUUUAUACGGGCAUAUCGCAUUAAGUUUAUUCACAAUGCCCUCAUAAAAUUCAUAAAUAUGAUGAGACUGAAGAAUUAUGCCAUUCAAACAAUACACUGUAUUUUAAUAGACAUGCAAAUAGGAUUAGAGAUGUUCAGGACUGUUACUGCUUGACAUCCGUAAGAUGCUGCAAAUAGUGGGAGCAUCCUUGUCUGUCCUGAGCUUGUCAGGCUGUCUCUUGCUUGGAAUCUUGUUGGAAUGGAUCACACCGCUGUCUUUGAGCUCCUCUGUCUGUGUGAGGAGGGGGGUAUCCCAGAUAUGAAAACCUCAGUUAUCUUUCUCUACAGUAGAUGUAACUUUCCAAUUUGUGUCUCUGCACAGAGGUCUAUCUCUGAGAUAUUGCAAGAGAGCCUGUCCAGAAAUAACGGACUGGAAGGAAAUCCCAUGGAUUUUUGCUACCUCUGAUGGGGAACAAGAAGAAUAGCACAGGCUAAGGUGUUUCUGAGAAAAUUGUAACAUGUUGGCACUUACCCUCUCAGCUGAACAGUUCAGUUUUGAUUGUGAGCCUAUAUCCUGCAGGUGCUUAUGGCGAGCCACAGCAUUUACGAUGCAGUGGCUUUCCUUAGUAAAUAGUGCAAAGUGCAGCAACAAGCUGAGUUGAUGUGUAAAUUAGGCCAGUCUAUGUAAGUUGUGUCCUCUGUUCACAAGGUCUCCGAUAGAAGGCAGUCCAACUGGUAACCCAUCCUGAAGAGCACGGAUUUGAUUCACUCAGUCCUUUAUUGGGGCAGAGAAAGGUUGUGUUAUUCAUUUGUUUUACACUGAAAGGUGUUUAGUUUUGGCAGUAUAGGUGGGGAAAGCAAUUAGAAAGAGGUUGAGAAAAAAACAAGGGAAGAUUUGCAGAUAAUCCUUAUGCUUUUAAACUCCAGAUGCGUAUCCUAAGGUAAUGUUCUUGUAGCCUUGGCUUCCAAACAUUUGUAAGCACUGUCGGAAGUAAAUGUGUCAGUACAACAUGCCUUCUUGAUGAGUCUCACUUUUCUCUGAAAAAAAAUAAAAUGCUUGCAAUCAAGGAACAAGAGAUAAAAAUCAGAACUCUUUCUAACAGGCCAGGCAGUGUCAGAUGAAGAUCUCAUCAACUGACACAGCAAUGCUUUGCUUUAGUUGAAGAGAUGACACUAUACUUCUAUGUACGGAUCCUUUUCUUAGCCUGGAAAAAUGUCUUUCUCUGAUAUAAGUUGUUCGGCUUCAGAUUGUUUAACUUGCAGAUCAUUUUCAGAAGUGAACAAACCUUCAUAUAAGUGUAUUCUAAACUAGGGUUUGGCAGACUCUCCUCCUGGAAUGGAUGUUUGAUGGGAGAUGAUUUUUCAGAGUCAGAGGUUGAUUUAGACAGUAUAGCUAAAUCAUAGGAUUUCUGUUUAAAUACUAAAAAUAACUAAUUUUUCUUUGUCAAGUGCCAAAUAUUCAUGCAGACAUUGUAAAGUAGUGUAAAAUGUAUCCUUCAUCUGGAAAAGGGAAUGAUGUAAUAUAUCACUUUCAGUGCAGUCAGCUUAAACGAGUGGGAUUUCCACAUCGUCAGGAUUGUGACAUUUCAGUUACUUUUGAACUUUCUGACCUUUCCAAAAUAUUACUUUUGAUUACAUUGGUCUUUUAGUUGAUCCGGUCUCAAAGUUUUUCCUCAUGUUUACUUAGUUCUCACAUUCUCCAUUCCUUUUCCCUGACUUCCCACAUCUGGGCCACUAAAAUUCAGUGCUUAUAGUGCAAGAAGUGUUGCUGAAGUUUAUCAGCUGGACCCGAGUGCAUAACGCUGGGCUGAGCUGUUUAUGCUUUUGUUACAGCAAGGCAUACAGUUGGCUGUGAGCUCAGUGCACCUCACUGAAGCCAAGAACUCUUCACUUGCAAAUUUCAAGGUCUUGGCGUGUUGAAGACAGCUUCACACAUCGGUGCUGGCAGCUCCUUCAUGUCUACAGCUACACUGAUAGUUGUGUUGUGAUCAGUGGCACGGCCUCCCUGUAUCUUUGCAGUCAGCUUUCUGGAGGCAUAGCUGUAUUUAUUCAUUUAUAUCUGGUAAGAUACCGCUCUGGAUGAGCAUGGCACUGUGCCUGUGCAAUUAUGUCCUGCAGGUACUCGUAGUCUCCUAAAUACCAUCUGGCAGUGCUGCAGGGCCAACUGUAUCAGAAAUUCCAGACAGUGAAAAGGAGAUAUUUCAUAGUGAAUGUGCUUCACCUAUUUUUUUUUUGUCUUGUGUGGAAAAACCAAAUAGGUUGUUCAACCCAAACAUAAGCAUUAUGCAUAGAUGCAUGGUGAGAUGAUAAGCCAGCUGGGGUAACCCCUAACUUUAGAUUUUCUCACUCCUGAGCUUAAAUUCACAGUUUAAUGAUGUCUUUACAUGGAUUUAUGCAUUUAAUUCCUAAUUACGUUUUGAAAGUACUGCCUGCCUGAAGACCUAAAACCUCCAGUGCCUGCUGAAGCCGGUGCUUUCAGAUUCAUCUAAAACAUGAGCCAUGGCAUGUACUUUUUGAAGUCUUUGAACUGCAUGUAGCUUUAGUUUGAGCUCUGUCUACUACAGAGGGAAAGGAAACACUUUCCUAUUCUGCUCACAGCCUGUGCUGGAGGGCUGCUGCCUCUUUUCUCACAAUUACUGCUGCAGCUAAUCAUAUGUAAUCCCUGUGUUAGUACUAACAAAGAAAAUCUGUGGGCAUUGGAUAGACGUUUUUUUUACAUGGAGAGAUGCUUGUAUUUUAUUUUAUAACUCCAAUUGCUUUGGAUCUGCAAUUGUUCUUUUUUUUUUUUAUGUAGCAGACAUCCUGAUUAAAUUUAUGGGUUCCUAAAAUACAUAACUUGUAAUGUUUGAUAAACAAUUUUCCAUUUUUCUUUCAUCAGAUGCAAAUAUUCUGGGGGGAGUUCUCAGUUCUAUUCUCCAGGAUAGAAUGCUGAGCCACUGUAAACUGUUCCAUAAUAGAAUAGCUACAUGUCCGUCCCUGGAGGCAUUCAAGACAAGGCUGGAUGUGGCUCUGGGCAGCCUGGUCUGCUGGUCGGUGACCCUGCACAUAGCAGGGGGGUGGAACUCAAUGAUCAUUGUGGUCCUUUUCAACCCAGGCCAUUCUAUGAUUCUAUGUCUGGGUAUAUCAGACAUCUAUUUUUUUUUAAUACCCUUGUGGAAAUUCUUUCAGGACAGGUCUUUGCUGGGCUGCCAAACAUCUGGAAAUCUUGGACAAAUAGCCAUUUCACGUGGACAGAUUCUAUUGCGAUGAGUCCAGUGCACAAGGAUUUGUCCAAAUUGCUCUAUAAGACCUAUGCAGUGGGUAUUUUCACCUUAAUAUAUAGCAUGUGAAAGACAGAAAUACGAAUCCUACUCUGUGUGAUAGAUUGCGCUUUGAUUUACAGCAUUAAGGUUUUGAAUGCUUUUAUGCUUCUAAGCAAAUGUGGGUUCAAAUUUUUGUCAUUUUCAGAUGGUGAUUUAGAUUGUGUUUCUAUAAUUGUAUUCAAAUGCACUUCUGCCCAAUCGUAUUGGGUAGUUCACAUAUAUGUAUAUAUAUUUUCCUUAAAUACUUCAUAGUUUAGCUCCUGGAUAAUACCUAGAUACUAGCUUUGAGUUUGUAGGUAGGCAUGUACCCCUCUUCUCUAUGGAAAACUGUAAAAUGGGGUUUCUCACGGAGAUGCAGGGAAAUUACUGGCUUGUUUAAAUGUUUGGGAUCAUUUAUUUGUUGAUAUACUGAAUCAUUUUGGCAUUGAGUUUUAGGUUGCCUUUUUGUUGUUUCAUACAGCUUGGUUUGUCAAGUGUGCCCUAUCAAGUAGGUUACUAGAGGAUUCAGCUCUCACUCAGAUACAGAGAUGUGUUUGGGAUAAGAUCCUGUACCAAAAAUAUGAGAUCAGAAUAAAUCUUACGUUCUGCUGCUGUGGAUGUUAACAAUAAGGGCUUGGUUGUGAACUCAGAUGCAUUUUGUUUUUUAGAAGUAAAAUAUGAGUGCUCUUCAUUACAGCUGCAGUUUAUCAAUACUUCAGUAGGUCCAAUAGGUCUGACAGUUCUCUUCUACUAAAUCUGUCAGUUGCCUUUGAGAUGAGAGUGGCCUUAUUAUUCAGGUUUUUAUUUUGAUUGCAGGCUUUAGCAAAGGGUAUCAGAAUAGUGGUUAAUUUUUUUAAUCCUUUCCUCUUUAAAGAAGAUGUAAGUUUGGUGGCUUUUCUAUCCUACAAAUACUAUUAUGACAAUUCAGGAUUUAGAUUUUCACGUCUUUUAGGGCAAGCAUGUUUCUGCCUAUAAUUACAUAUGUAAGACAAUUCCUGGAAGGAUUUUAUGCAUGAGAGUUUUUUUAAGUCUAAAGUUUCUUCUGCCAAAACAGUCAUCACAUAAUACAUGUUUUCUGUCAUCUAAAUGAAAUUAAGAUAGAGGUGAACAUUGAUCUGCAUCCACCUCACAUAGAAGGAUUUUUGACAGGUUAAAGAAUAUUUGUAAAUGGCAAGAGUGAAACUCAGUCUCUUGAAAGAUUUUGACCAACCAUUUUCAGUGUGCUGAGCAGUUUAGAAGUUUUGAUGAGGACUCCCCAUAUUUUUUUCUAAGAUAGAUAUGUUAAGUACGUCCUUAACUGUUCCUUACCUGUUCCUUCCUGACCAGCCUUUACCAUAUUUAUCUCAAUCUUUGUCACAGUCAGAUCAGAUUAUGAUGUUGCAGCCCGAGUUAUAGCGAUAUCCAAAUACCAUUAAGAAUUUCUGUUGAAGAAAGAAUAAAACGUCUUUCUUGCUGAAUCACGUCUCAUGCAGACCUGUGCUCUGUAGGUAAUUGUCUUAUGUAUAUGUACAUUUGUCAUAACUGCUUUCCUUUUCUCUAUCUUAGCAGUUAGUUUCAUCUCAACCCAUGAGUUCUACUUUGUUUUUAUCGAUUCUCUCCCCUAUCCCACUGGGAAGGAGAGGAGUGAAUGAAUGUCUGUGGUGCUCAGCCACCUGCCGGGUUAAACCACAACAGUAAUGCAGCUGAUAAUUCGUUUAAAGCCUUUCAAAUCUCCUAGUAAAAGAGAAAACUGAUCUGAAAUUCAUUGUAACAACAACUAAAACCACCGAAAAGAAAAUAAAGUUAGAAAUACACUUGGCACGUAUUUAUUUACAGUUGACUCUGCUAUUCUCAGUAAUGAGGUGGGAUAAGGAAAAGAAAGCAACCCCCCCAAAAUUUAAAACAUAUGUAAAAGAGCUACAAGAACAUUCUGUACGUAGUUUAUAUUCAAAUUUUAAAUGAAGAUAGGUUAAAAAAUGAAAAGGAAAAUGUUCAGGGUCUUUUCUACACUUAUUGUUAAUUCGCAAGCUGGAUAGUUCUUCCAUGACUAAUUGAGAAUAGGUGAUAUUUCACGUGUUUUGGUUUAACUAAAAAUUGUCAACUACUUCUUGCACUCCCUAUUCCUAUUUUAACUACAGUUAUUCUAAUACCAGGUCUAAGGUACUAAAGGAAUUCUGUUUUUCCUAUUGAGGCUAUUCUUGCAGCACAAGCUUCUCUAACCUGCUUUGAUGGGCAGAUUAUGCAAGUUUGUUUUAUUAAUUUACUGCUGUCAGAAGUCACUCAUUGUCUUCUUUGUUAGAUACUGGAAAUAAUGUAAAACUUAAAUGCAAAGGAUGUUAAAUAGUUAGACUAGGAUCUACUCUGUAUUAUUCCUGAUGUAAUUAAUUUGACUUGUGUUUUUGAAAGCCUUCAGUCAUAGACACUGUAAAUGGUGCUAUUGCUUGCUGUUCAAUCAGGAUGUACUGGCUUUGCAAUAGCAAAUUCAAGCUGUUCUGUAGAUGUGCUUUAGAAUAUGCAGAGCAAAUAUGAGAUUAAAAAAAAAAGGAAAAAAAGACAUGAGUUUGAAGGGUUAUUUUAGGGUUAUUUCCAUUCUGUUUUUAAAGAACCUUAUUCUCUAUACAAACUUUCAGAGUUUUCCAAAAAGGAGUGAUUAAAGCUGUAAUUGCUCUACUAAGAUAUGUCGCGCUAAGACGGUCACUCUUCUAUUCUGUGUAUUAAUCAGUUUCAAUAUUUACCUGUAUUCAUGAGUCACCUGAGCUUUGGUAUAGUUAUCUGGUAUGCUGCCAGGUUAUGCUUUGCUUAGUAUCAUUUGCUAGAAGCGGGAUAUCUCAGCUUGCUGGGGAACACAUACAUGCAUAUACAUGUCUGUGACUGCAAGCUAACUCUGUGGGGAAAUGUGAAGGAGCUGUCUAAAUUAAUCAUCUCUCAGCAACUGUUAUAUCUCAUACAGAUAAAAUGUUUCUGAAAAGGUCUGGAGUAAGAAGGGGGAGUGGGAGGGAGAUUCAGACUUUAAUUGCUUUUGCCAUGUCUUUAAAUAAGGUGCAAAAUCAGCAUCUGUGCUAUAAGUCUGCUUCAAAGCAUAGAAGGCUACUGCAAUUCACUGCUGCUUUAUGGUUAGAGAGCAAAAAUGGAAUAUCAGCUUAGAGGUAUAAAUGAAGAGAAGGUGAGUUGAUUUUGUUUCACUCUUGAUUCUCCUGUGCUCUCACACUGAGCAUAGCAGACCCAUCAUGCCAUGUACAUAUGCAUUCCUCUAUAGAUCCUCACCAUCCUGGGCAGGACUCAGGAGUGCUUAAGACUGAAGCAAGACAGAUGCCUACCCAACUAAGGAUACCUGGAGAUUUGGCAGCAUCACAGAGUGAAAUCAGCAGCUCACGAACUCUGAGGAGAGGCAGUGAGCUUUCUCUUCCCACCAUCUUUGCAACAUGAUGUGUCUCUGUAACAGUGUAGGCAGCAGGCAUAUGUGAAAAAAAUAUUAGGAAUCCUAAGAUGCAAAUAGCUGUGCUAUAGUUUGAGUUUCUAUAAAACACAGAAAUCAGAAAUUAUCACCGGGCAGGAAAGCUGUAUUAACGUUAAAUGUUUUCAUGAAUCAGAAUAACUGAAACAGAAAGAGCCCCCCAAAGCUUUAGUUCUUAAUUUUUAUACUUGGUGCAAGGUUGUGGCUUUAGUUUUAGUGUAAGUUCCCUGGGAUUAUUAAUGUGCUGCUGUUUUGUUGGAUAUAGAACUUAGGCAAUACCCUAUAUGAGUACUGCCCUGGUUUAGGUAAUAGCAGUUUCUGUAGUAUGUUUUAUUUCUGUUCCAAACCAGCAAUACUAGAGAAAGCAAAUAAUUUCCCUAACUGGCUACAGUUACGUCUUUGUAGGAAUAGAAAUAGUUUUUAGUAGAAGCUUAAAAUCUACAGAAAUUAAUGUUCUGCACACUGCUUAAUCCCUUAUGACCAUGGGGCCAAACACUAUAAAACUGCUUUUUCCGGGAUCUAGAACUAAAAGCUACACAGCUUAACAUCUUUAUUUGGGAAGUGCUACUUAAAUAAUUGCCUAGUUUUAAGUUAAAAAUGUAGUUUAUUUAUUGGGGAAUCUCUGAAUUCAUCAGCUGUCAUUCUACAUUAUUGGAACCACCAUCUUCCCACAUACAGAUCUCUCUUGUGAAAUCUUUACUUAGGAAACCAGAAGGGAGUGAGCUGAAAUUGUAUUAAUCUUUAGAAAUUUAAAUAAUCUUUUCCACUCUUAUUUAAAAAUAACUCUCUCUGCUUAUGUAACAGAACUAUCCAUAUAGCUAGUAGUUAAUUUCUAAUGAAGCUUUUGUAAAGUCUAUGUAAAGAGACCUUUCUGAUGUUGCUCAGUGGAGAGAAGCAGAAAUGUUCUGCAUGAGUAUGCAUGUGCCCAGCUUUGUAAUCUACAUAAGCAGAAAAAAACACCGUCUUGGAAUGACACGUUUUUGUGCCCAGGGGCUUCUCUCGAUAGGCAAUACAUUUAGAUUGUCAGAGAUACAGAUGAAGCCAACUACUCUGCUCUUUUGGAAACUCAGAUAACUUCACACCAAUGCAGAAAUCAAUGCAAAUACAUUUUAAUUCAGCUAAAUCCAUACACAGUGCUGACAUUAACACUACAAAUAUGAUUUCUCUUGAGCUAAAGUUGCUCUUUCUGAUGAGAAUAGAACAUAUAUUUAUUUCUUCAGGGAUCCUUCCUCACUGAGAGUAGAUGCUUAGGAAAAUUGAUAUUUAUUUCUCUUAGUAGUGCAGGAAUCAGUUUAGUGCAAAGCCAAGGUUAUUCAGUGUUUUGGAACUUGCCAGGAGGGAUUCCGCAAGGAAACUGGACUGUAGCACCAGCUGAAAUAGCACAAUAGAAAAUGCCACUUUGGCAGCUGGAAGAAAUCCAGGGCACAGAGUCAACAGCUGCCUUCUGUUGUCUCGGUACUGGUCUCGUGUCUGGAUCACAGAAGACUUGUGAUUUUUCCCGGUCUCAGUCUGGGAGAAAAAGCCUGCCUUUUGUUUUAGUAGAUAUGUUUUAUCUGAGCCUUUUUUGAUGCUAGGAAAGUCACAGAGUAAGUCAUCUUGGAACAGAGUUCAGGUCACAUGAAGUUGGUGGUGGUCAGUGGAAAGUCAGCACUAAUUACCUUCUAUAAUAAAAAUAUCUGGAUUCACAGAUGAGGGGAAAGCAGAGGUUGUCACUGACCUCCAUUUUUGACAAAGCCUUUAAGAUCAGUUCAUACAACAUUCUUAUGUGAGGAUGUUUGUGAUCUGGUGGGGAAAAGCAAUAGUUCGUGUGUUGUGCUCUAUCUGGAGGAGUAUCCAGUAAAGUGCUAUAGGGUCUAUUGUUUUGUUCAGUAUCUCAAUAAUUUGAAGGAGGCAAUGAAGUAGUUGAUUGUAAGGUUUUGCACCAAAUUGAGACCAGUCACAACAACCAAGGACAGGGCUGCCAACCAACGGAACCUAGCGAGACUGAAGCAAUGGACUAAUGAGUGUUACACAAUUCAGGAAUGAUAAAUGCAGUUGCUGUCCUUGGAGAUUUUUGAGACUCACCUAGGGACAGCCCUAAGCAAUGUAAUAAGAACAAGCUUUUCUUAGAAAAGAAGGUUGGAUUGGAGCUCUGAGGUCUUUGCCAGAAUAAAUUAUUCUGUGAUUAUCCAGAAGAGGUAUUUAAUACGACUGAUGGAACAGCUUAGUCCUGUUUCCACAAAUAAUUUUUUUUAAAGGAAAAGUCAACAACAAUAAAAAACCCACCAACUAAGAGCUCUUUGGGUAGACAGGGAUGUGAAUAGAACUAUACAUCCCCAGAAUAGUGUAAAACUCAUUCCUCCUCAGGGGCAAUUCUCCAUCCUGUUGCCAGCCUUGCACAAUAAGUAACAAACAGAAGAGCUCUGUUUGCAGCAUCUGAAGACAUUCCACAGUCAUGUCCCUUGCUCUGCAUAGAGGACUUUUUCCCCUUGGUUUUAACUCCCAUUUUAUUUCUCUAAUAACUUUGAUCACGACCAUUUUAUCUGACAAGAGCUCCUCCAGGGUGUUUUCCAGCACCAUGAUAGUGCAUUAAUGUCAGCCCUAAGGAAGAAGGAAAUUCAUGUACUGUCUUACAGUCUUUUCUUCGUCUGAUUGGAACUCCGCAAGUUAGGAGUGGGGGAAGAAGAAACUGCAGAGUCCUGGACCUACGGAGAAAACAGACGCAGAGUGUUAGGAAAGUUGCUUACAGGCCUACAGCAAGGAUGUGUGGUCAGUCUCAUCGCAAAAAAAUGUUCCAUGAAGAUGAUCAUAGGAGAAGACAAGGGAUGUCACAGAAACCAAGAUCCAGCUCUUUGUGAAACUCAUUGGGAAUGCUGAUCUCAUAUGCAGUCAUGGGUUGUUGAACUAGCAUUCCCAUGAAGCCCAACCUGGUCUUCCUGCUACCCACAAAGCCCCUUUAAGCAUUGCAUCAGUUGGCAAGGUCAGGGUUCUAUCACUUAUGGACUGAUAAAUGCAAACCUGGGAGAUCUGUUUAUGAGUAAAUGAGGGAAAGCAACUGUUCUGUCUGAUGUCAGCUGCACGUGGUACAGUUGCAGUGAUAGAAGUGAUACGGAACACUCAUAAUACCUAAAGAGAGAGCAGUGUGUGCAAUCCCUCCUGGAAUGGGGAGCAUUCUUUUUUAGGAGUUGCAGCUUUGUCUUGGUGAAGAUGCUUAAGAAAUAUGUUCAUUAGUAAUGUGAAAGGAGUAUGAUCAGACUUCUCAAGUCAGAAACUAAACAAAAACCCAUGCACUUCUUGCUUGGAUAGGACUAAAUUCCUCAUUACUGUGCUUGGUUCAUCAGUUAGUUGAUGAACACAAGUACCUACUUACUGGAUUGCAAUGGAAUCUGCACCAGGAAGUUCCCUUAGUUCACUGUAAGUCAAUUUUGCAGUUUCUCUCCAUAUUGCAAUGACUGUAUAGAGUACCUUGUGGCCUUCUCUGGCCAUCAACACCAAGAAUACAAAUCGGUGGAUGAUCUCUCACGAUGAUCUUUUCAGACUCUCCAUUUUGCCAAAUGCGUUUUCUGCCUACGUACAUUUUGCAGUGAUCUUGAGUAGCUUACAGGACACAGAAUGCAAAUCACAAUUGUUGUUGGAAAGAGCUGCUACUGAAAAAAAACCCCAACAUUCAGAACAAAGUUAUUACCGCUUCGUAACAUCUUAAAAAAAAAAAGUUAACCACUGAGCUUUUUUUUCUAUCUUGAUGCAGUGUAUGGCUUUGUCUAUAAAAACCAAAAUGCUCGUGUCUUAUAGUACAGUAUUUAAAUGAUCAAGGAAGAAGUAUAAUAGUGUAUGCCAAAUAUUUUUGUAGCAUCUACCGACUCUAGCUUUCCAGUCUCACAGAGAGCAACCAUUGGACCUGUAUUAUUGUUAUUCCUAUCUUAUUCUGGAAAGAGAUGUGAAACUAUUCAUCCAUUACAACUGCUCUUUGAUAGCACCAUCCCCAGUCAGAUGGGAUUGUCAAACUGGGAUUUCUUCUUAUGUUAGGUCCAGUAUUAGGCCAUCACUUCAGCAAAGCAGAUUCCACCAUACAGGAAGAUUGUUUCCCAAAAUAAAUCUAAAUUCUGUUUUUUCUUCUGUCAGGUAUGAGCCUUGUACCUAAAAGUGACCUGAUAGGAACAUUUCAAUAUCUUAAAGGGAGCUACAGGAAAAAAGGGGACAGAUUCAUUAGCAGGGUCAUGGUGAUAGAGCAAGGGGAAAUGCCUUCAAGCUCAAAGAGGGCAGAUUUAAGUUAGAUAUAAGGAAAAAAGUCUUUUACAGUGAGGGUGGUGAGGUGCUGGAAUAGAGAUGCGGUUGAUGCCCCGUCCCUGGAGACUUUCAAGGUGAGGUUGGAUAGGGCCCUGGACAACCUGAUCUAGCUGUGGUGUCCUUGCUCGUUGUAGGGGAGCUGGACUAGGUGAUCUUUAAAGGUCCCUUCCAACUCUCAGGAUUCUAAGUGUGGUCAAUAUCGAAGUAAAAUCAUCAUGUCUCCUGAGUAAGGUCCUAUUAGCUGUCUCUUAGCUGCUCACACACGUUCAUCAAAAUCUCAUAUGGGUCACUUGAUACUGACCCAUUAUGUACUAUUUGUAGUAGACGUCUUUUCUUUUUCUCAUUAUUAGUAUUUUAGAUAUCUCAUUUAGACUAUUAAUUACAUCUUCCAAUUGGGAAAUGCACGGCUCUUCAACUCCUAUUUUAACAGUUAUCUAGAGCAUAAUAUGGUGUACAUUGCAUUGUAUUUGAACUUAAAUCUCUGAUUAGUAAAGCCCACUGGUAUGGCCAUUCUGUCAUAAAAUGUUUAUCCAGAAUUGAUAGCCACGUAAUUACUUUUAGUUAUGAAAGUUUUUAUUCUGUACUGGGAGAUAAUACUCUGAAAUCGUAUUGCUAGGAAUGAGAAAUAUCACAGUAUUUUCCAAACAUCAAAAUAUCUUUCAGCGGAAAGAAACUUCAAAUAUUCCUAUUUGUCACUGACAGACUGAUUUCUGCCCCUAAGGCUCAAGGAGACCAAUUGGUCUUCUGUAAUUCAUGUUUGGAGUUUGUAUACUUGAGGAAAGAAUUUUCGGAUAUUGGUGUAUAAAUACUGCUGUUCUGUCUUUAUACAGAAAUGGAAAAGAAAAGAGGACCCCUAAACAAAAACAUUUUUUUUCUUAUUUUUGCAAUUUUUUAUCUUCUGCAUAUGAUGAAUACUUCCCGUGUUUAUCUGGGUUGCUUUGGUAUUUGCCUCAAAAAUACAUCAUUAUCCACAAACCCUUAAUCAGAACAUGAAAGGAUCAUUUUAUCUCCUGUACUACUUCUUAUCCUGUAUUUCCCAGGGCUUCUAUUGAUUUUCCUUUUUAAUGCAAAUCACCCCAAAAUGUUUCAUUUUAGUUGUAGCAAAGCUAUUACCUUUAGUUUGAAGGCUUCUAAUUGUGAUUUUCCUUGAAUAUUAUAUUGGAAUUUAUUCCAGUAGUCUGUAAUGUUUCUAUAUUUUAAAAUGAAUUAAAUACAUACGCUUAAAUUAGCCUUUCAACAGCAACAACAAGUUUUUAUUAGAUAUCAUUCUCUUUGAAUAUUAUUGAGAUUAUAUUAGAACUGUGUGAGAAUUCCUACACCGUCAACUGCUUUCUGAUGAAAUUUGUAGCAGAGAUCUUUUACAUUUACUGAAUUCUUUCAUGAUAGCCUUCUGCAAACACUCUGUGAACAAAUAUAUUAAUAACAAUAAUUAGCAUUAAGUGGUCUGACGGUAAAAUCUAUGAGCGUAUAUUUAAUGGCAUGGGGAUGCAGAUUUCUUUUUAAUAUGUUGUUUUUAAUAGACUUCGGAGGCAUUUAGGAUAUCCUCUGGCAUUAUGGAGAAUGGGCCUGACUUGCAGAGUGAUUUUUUUAUAACUACUGCUGUAGCUGUUUUUAAUGGUAUGAGCACAUUUUAAAGUUUUGCAGUAAGCUUUCCUUGCUCCUGCAUUGAGUGUCACAUUUCUUACCCAGCUUCUGUUCUGGUAACCAUGGGAUGGGUCUAUAUGAGUGCUCACCUUUUCAGUUAGCUAUAAUGCUCUCAAAUUACAGUUUAUACUAUUGUUCUCCAGAGUUCCCAUUUCUGCAGUGCAAGAGAUCAUGUUCUUCAUGGAGGAUCCCAGAGAGUUUUAAAGGUGUGCACUUCCGUUUGCAUAGACUGAAUAUUAUCAAGUACAAUUCUAAUAUGAUUUUUGGUAUUUCAUUUUUUUCUGGUUUAUUUACUUUUGAAAUAAGAUGAUCCUUUAUAUGAGGCAGCGUCAUUGAAACAUGUUCUUCUGUAUUGAAAAACAUAGCUUGUUUCUUCUCACACACCCAUAUUAUCAGUUAACAUCUACCUUUAGUGCAGAGGGGCUCUGAAUCUCAAGGAAACACGGUGACCACUUGAAUCCAUGGGAUAUGUCACCAUGAUGACUAUCACAUCAUAUGACAAACAGCUGAAUGAGCAAUUACAGCUGUUCUUACCAUGGCUGGGCAGGUUAAGAGGCAGCACGAGCAGAACACACGGCAGUGAUGUCCUGGGACCAGCUGCUGCUGUCUGCAGGUGGCAUGCUGCCCUCCGCAGAAGUCUGUGCCUGGGUAUGGGCAGGGCAGCUGAGUGUAAACCUAUGGGCUGUGUGGAGCUGCCUCAUGCAGGAGGGAGAAACCUCACUGGGAAAGCAGGGGUUGCUGUCACAUCUGAAACUGCCUCAAGUGUACAUGCUGCUGCUUUUGAGAAUCGCUCAGUUGAUGUAGAUAUCUCUGCUGUACAUUCAGCCUUCUCACCAGAGGCAAUAGGGACAGGCAAACGUGAAUAUGUGGAGCUGCAGAUACAUGAGGCUAUGUACAGAGCCAAUUUAACUUGCUCUGUGGACUGACAAUCUGUAGUUGGUGACUGGAGUGGAAGAAAAGCACUCACAGUGAGACUAUGUGGGAGAGAAGAAGAUAACCCAGUCCUUCCCAUCCCAUCCCCCAACAUGAGAAGGUUUUAUCUGUGUGGGAAGGUGAAAAGUUUUGUGCCAAAGCUGGUUGUUGCAUUUUUUUUAUCCAUAAUGCAAGAAAGCAGCUACAGUAGUGCAGCUGAUAGCCAUCCUCUUUGGAAUUACUGUUGUUCUUUAAUGAGCACAGCUAACAAAGGCUUUAUUUUCUAUCUCACUGUGUAAACAGCACAUGCUGGUACAAUGCCCUGACAUGUAAUUCUGCUCUUGGGGCACUGGCUCAUUAUAGGCUUGUAGUCAAGAGUACAAGCUGCAAAAUUGGGACUAUCAGUUUGGGGGGGUUCUGCUUAUGAAGAAGUGAAAUUGCUUCUGACAGGUUCUUGACAAUACCAGGCAAAGUAGUCACAGGUGGGCCAAUAGUCACACAGAAAGAAAAGCUGAAAUCAUUCUACUGGUGAAGGGGCUCUCUGGCUAUGCAGCACUCCUCCUCAAGAGGCAGCCUAGGUCCAAGAGAUGCCCUCUCUUCAGUAGCUAGCCCUCAUGUAAGCCCAGCAUUGCUCCACCUUUUGUCCACCCCUUCUGGACACAUGGGGAACACAGGUGCAAACAAUCUGCCUGUGCUCCCUGGGCUAGCCACACCCCUUCACCAGGUGCUCAGUUCAAGUGGAGAAAUGGAGUUUUUCAACAGUAUUAGUCAGGGAGACAGGCAAGGUAUCUAGUGCAGAGACCUGCUGUUGAAGUGGUGGUUUUGGAGGAGAUACUCAAGUAAUCUCCUCCAGAAGCACAGCAACCUGUCAGGUGCUGAGUCAGAGCUCCAGGACAUGCCUUCCUGUCAUAACUGAUGGAUGGGAAUCUAAGGUAUGUUUUGUUUUUCCAUCUCCUGUUACAGCUGUUGUUCUGGGAGGAAAUUGUUGCUGUUGUGCUGUAUAUUUGGAGUCAGGACUUCUGCGAUUCCAUCUUUUGUGCUCUGUCCUCUGUCCUCCUCAGUAUUGUUCCUUACUCAAAUUUUAUUCUUCUAAGCAUCCUUCCACAAAACACAGCUGAAAUAUCCUGCCCUGAACCGCACAGUCCUUUUGGGGAGCUAAGUUCUGUGCUCUGUAUAAAUAGAGGGACAACUUUACAAGGGUGGAUAGCGAUAGGACAAGGGGGAAUGGUUUUAAACUGAGACAGGAGAUUUAGGUUGGAUAUUAGGAGGAAGUUUUUCAUGCAGAGGGUGGUGACGCACUGGAAUAGGUUGCCUAAGGAGGCUGUAGAUGCCUGGAGGUAUUCAAGGCCAGGCUGGAUGUGGCUCUGGGCAGCCUGGUCUGGUGGUUGGCGACCCUGCAAAUAGCAGGGGGGUUGAAACUCAAUGAUCAUUGUGGUCCUUUUCAACCCAGGUGAUUCUAUGAUUCUGUGAACUUCCUCAAAACAAGAUUCAGUUUAAUUUUAACAUUUGGGGAAAAUAGGAUGCAUGUAUUUAUUUAUUUUACACGCACACACAAAAAAAAAUGCUCUGUAAAUGUUAAUUUCUUCUGAGUACUUGCAUUCUUGGUGAAUUAAUCAUCCUUUUCCAAACUCACUUUUCCUUUAAGAUUAUGGUGGUUUUUUUGUUUGUUUUUUUGUUUUUGUUUUUGUCUCACUUUGCUAGCUGUAUUUAGAGGCUUUGACAAUAUCAGUUAGCUCACUGCUGUUUCAAAGGCAGGAUCUUAAGGCAAAUGGCAUCUUGCUGUUUCUGAAGAGCAAGCUUUUGUGUUAUCAGUAGCUAGUGUUUAUUUUCCUGCUUUAAUGCAGUUAGCCUCAUUUUGAAUUGACCCCAUGCUUUCAUACAGCGGUCUCCUUGACAAGAACCAUAUGAAUAGCACAUAAGGGAUUCUAUGGAUUCCCACAGAGUAGGACCACAGUCUUCAAACAAACGAACCCCUCCCUCACCGAAUACGAGUAAGAAAUGUCUGAAAAUUUGUCUCUUCUACUUGUUCUGCAUUCAUCUUCUGCAAAGUAUGCUGUAGUACAGAAAAUCUGCAAGAGCUUAAACAGGUCUCCAGCUGACUUCUUGAUCUCAGAGAUCUUUAUUUUAAUACUUCUUAUCCUUGAUUAUGAAAGUGUAAUGUAGAUGUAGUAGGAGUCUUAGGGAGCCUCUGAGAUGCAGAGCAAUCGUGUAGACGUUUGCUCACACAUUAAAGAAGUUAUCAUUUCUGUUUAUAAUAUUGUUUGUGCUCCAUGAAAUAUGAUAUUUAGUGGAGGCCUUUAAAGUUCUGUGCAUAUGCUGGUGUCAGUAACUUAAAUUUCUGUUGCCUCUUGUCUUGCAUAUGGUGAUAAUGAUACCAUGGAGGGAGGAUAACAACUUCUCCUCUUCUCUAGGUGUAUUGAUCUAUCACAGAUGUAGAAAUUGCUUUUCACACCUUUUACUUUUGUCUCUACACUGUUAUUUGACUUUUUCUUAGCAGUUAGAGACACAGUUUGCAGGAUAAACUCUUACUGAAAUAUAGGCAUACUGUAGACAUAUGUUUGCUCUGCGCACAAUUGUCCCCUUAUAGCACUGGUAAGUACCCAUGCUUAGAAUAGAAUAGAAAAGUUCAGUUGGAAGAGACUUUCAAAGAUCCUCAAGCUCAACUUCCUUACCUCAGGGCUAACCAGAAAUUGAAGCAUCUUAUUUAUUAAGUGCAUUGUCCAAAGGCCCCUUGAACACUGAGGGCAUAAACCACUUUGCUAGUAAGCCUGUUCCAGUGUCUGACCACCUCAUGGCAUGGAAAUGUUUCCUGCAGCCAAACCUGACCCUCCCCUGGCAGUGCUGUGCUGUUCCCGUUCUGCUAUCGGUUCCCAGGAGCAAAGCCCAGCACCUCCCUCUGCUUCCCCUCCUCAGGAGCUGCAGAGAGCAGUGAGGUCGCCUCUCGGCCUCCUCUACCCAAGACUGGGCAGCCCAGAGCCCUCAGCCUCUCCUCAUAGGACCUGCCUUCAUGUCCUGUUACUAAGUUCGUUGUCCUUGCCCUUGGAAGCCUUCAGACUAGGGCAACAUUAGUAUCCUUUUUACAUCCUGGGACCCAGUUUCUGCUUGUUUACAAAAUGUUGCUUAUGUUCUACAUUAGAAUUCAACUUGUGUCAUCUGCUUUUCUGAGUGGCUGCGGUUUAAUCAUUAAAUACACAGCAGAGGAGCAACUAACUAUUAUAAUUUGCCUGAGGAUGGAGUCUGCAUUGAAAAGCGUUUAGAGCCAAAAACUGUCUCCACUGACAUCAUGGGAAUUGCAGACCGGGCUACAAAAUGCCACUGAUCAUAAGGUCAUGUAAUAGAGAUUACUUAUCUGAAGUGCAGUCCUUAAAUCUCCUUAACUCCCCAGCCAGCUCUAGAACUGCAAAUUACAUUAUUUUGAUUUAACAUCUAAAGAAAAAAGAUUUCCUGUGAGCCUGCAGAUAAAAAAUUUGGGUGAGGAAAAAAGAGCAGCUGCAGCAAAGCUCUACUUAAUAAACCCAACAAGUCCCCGUUAGAUGGAAAAUCUUUUGGAUAUACAAAUGUAUGUAUAUAAAGCUAAACUUGAUGAGAAUGUUUAGCAAACUGGAUUUUGAGGAAAGCUGGGAAAUUUGUUUCACUACUUGAUCAUGCUUCUGGUUUUUGGUGGGUUUGGGUUGUGGAUUUUUUUCCAUCUCUUGAGAUAUAGCCAUUAAAAAAAAUACAUCCUUCUCCUAUAUUACAUUUUUAUCAACAUCCUCAGCUUACAGUAUCUAGAAGUCUAUUAUUUUAUAAAGAUAUAUAAAUAAUGUAGUAGUAAGCUAAAAUAAGAACUGUUAUUUAUCAACUUUCUAAGUGUUAUUGUUUUACAACACUGUACAUAGCAGGUGAUGGUUACAUCCCUUGAGUCUUACUCAUUUUGUGCUAUCUCCUUUCUCUCUUGUUCUUCUGAAUAUUGUUUAUCAGUCAAGCCUUUUUCUUUUUUUCUUCGGACUCCUCUGAGCUGUAUACAUAAUUUCAGAAUGCUGACGUUACCACAGGACAAGAAUCCUUAAUUUGGUCUCUUGGGAUGCUGUAGUGUGAGGAAAAACAAUUCCAUGCACACUUUAUGGUCUGUCCCAGCGGUGAAAGGCAGAUCUACUUCUCGAUGUGGCAGGGGCUGUAAAGUUAGUUCAGGUCUUAACUUCAUGUGUAUUUCUUUGCAUUUUUCCCUUCAAUAAUUAUCCCUAAAUUGAUAAGGAAAUUUAGGGUAUAAUCAAGUCUAUUCAUCGUUUUUAAAGAUGUGCUGUAUGUUCUGAUUUUGAGUACUUUGAUGGUAGGCCUUUCAAAAAAAGUCUUCAAAUAAUCACACCUUAGUCAUCUGUUCACGUGGAAGGCAGGUUACACUGCUAUGCUUGUUUAACCAAUAAGGCAGUGACAUAUCUAUAUUGAACAAUGGCAGUUUCAGUGGGCCCAUUUAAGUUAAAAAUGGUAGCUGCUGUGCUCAGCAUCCAUGAAAAUAGGAACAGUUUCAAAUUAUCUUCCAACAUGCUUAAAUCUUACAAAAGAGCUGAUCUUUAGACCUCUGGGGGUUAAAGGAGAGUCAGACCAAAGGCAGAAGUCAGUUUAAACGUGAGUGGAUCUUCUUUGUUGUUAACACGUUAGUUUAUAGUUUAGAAUUUUAAGCAUGUGCUCUUAAUAAAUUAUAAGAUAAAACAGAACAGCGAUAAGUUCGUGACAUUCUCAAUGUUUGCCAAAUAGCAAUCCGGCUGUAUGCUGCUUGCUGCUGUCCCUUUAAUCACCAGAGGUGUUAUUGGACAGACUGACCUUCAAAGAGAAGAAAGCAAGUGCACAAAAACAGCUGAGGUUUUGGCAAUAACAUCCACACUGUGUUUAGCUGCAGUACAGAAUAUUAUCUGUUGCAACUCCAAUGAGAAAGACAGAUGUAUGUUCUGUAUUACCAUUUUGGCUUUGUGCAUCUUAAGGGAUGUUUGGCUUCGUGCAUCUUCAUGCAUAUCAAACUGAAAGCAAAAUUGAGACACGUGAUUUUUUUAACCCUACGUAUUCCAUUUAUGAUGCACGCUACUACUGAAAUCAGGCCUGUAGUUUCUUACUAUAAUUAUAAUCUUGUAAAAAAAAAAAGUUUGCAGAUAUAUAUGUAAUACAGGCUUUGCUUAUUGAGCUAUUCUAUCUGUGGUCUAGUGUGGGAUCAGGGAAUUGUCAUUUUAGUCAGUAUUUUUUUUUGCUUUUGUAAAAAGCCACAAACCUGUUCAUUAGCUGAGCCAAACACUGAAAAGGUACCAUCUACGAAAAGCAAAAAUACCGUUUGCUUGGUGAUAAUUACUAGCGUUCAUUUUCUCACUUAAGUGAUAGAGCACGUCACACUGUUGCCAUAGCAACCCUGAUUCUAUCCCAUUAACUGCCUAAUGUGAAUUUAUGAAUGCAAGUUUCAACGUGUGGAAAAUAGCUGGAAAUAGGGUGUGAUUCAUCAUGUGCGGCACCGACAGCUGAGUUGCAAGCUAAGCCAGGGCAAUCUGAUUUGGUUUGCAGUAUUAAAGUGGUAUACUGGUUUGCAAAUAUCCAAUUAAAUAUGAACUAAUUUAAUAUUUAAUGAGUUUUUAAAUGAUAACUGAAUAGGUGUGUUAAAUUUUGAGGUGCUUGGUGCUGCAUUACAACAUUAAAAAAAAAAAACAAAACUAUUUUUUUAUUAGUGUUGCUGGAUACUGGCUCUGUAAUAAUGUUUUGAUGAAGACUUGAGGCAUUUCAAAGGUGUAUAUCCAUUUUGAGUUAGGUUGUUAAUGCUGAAUGUGCUCCUAGAUCCAGAGUUGUAAUGGGUUCAAAUCUUGAAGUUCUUGUGGAAUCCUAAUGAGCUUUUGAGUCAAAUGUUUAAGUCUAUUUCUUUAUAUUCUUUUCUCUUGUAAAAUAGGCACAAAGAAACCACCACCAACAAUACAAAAACAUUUUUCAUUUCAUUUCUCUACAUCAUAACUAUUCACUGUUGGUUCCUGUACCUUUUAAUUUUCACGUUGUGAUGAGUCUUAAUGCAUCAGCAGAGGUGUAGGAGUACUGUUCAUCUAAAAUAGCAAAUGUAUCUCUACCCACAGUCUGUCUGCUCAGUACCCAGUGUGGAGUGGCCAUGCCCCUCAUUAGCUGGGGCUCUGAUGGCUAUUUCAAAAUGAAUAGUACUGAAUGCUGAAAAAUUGCAUGAAGGAGAUGGCAUCACAAAUACAAUGCCAAUCAUUUAGAGACACAAUUGAGGUAGCUCAUGCAGUUCUUUUUUUUACAUCUGUGCAUUUGCAUUAUGGUACAGUCCUUUAUUGUAUGGUUAUAUAUUAUUGUAAGUGAUUUGUGUGAAGUCAAAGAUGUGCUGUAAUUCUUUCUCAGAAAAGCCCUAUUAGCCUAUUCACUGGCAAAUACAAAGGAACAAGAAUAACUGUUUAAGUUUACUGGGGAUAAAAGAAGUGCACCUCCUUUCAUGUUGGCUACCUUUCAGAAUUACAUUCUUACAACAGAAAUACUUGCUCAUUUUUUUUUUUUUAAUUUCACCAGAGUCAGAAUUCAUUUUCACAUUUUCCUUUACUGUACACUAUUAAAUCACAUGGAAUCAUUCAGUUGCAAAAGAAGAUUUCUGCUUCAUUGUAAUCCAGAAAUUUGCCUUUCAGGGUUGUUCUGUAUGGAACUGAAAGGCGCAUUAUUGCCUACAGGAAGGCUGCGGAGGGACUUUUUGUAGCAGCAGGAUGAGGGGAAAUGGUUUUAAACUGGAAGAGGGUAGAUUUAGACUAGAUAGUAGGAAGAAAAUCUUUACUGUGGGGGUGGUGAGACACUGGAACAGGUUGUCCAGAGAGGUUGUGAAUGCCCCCUCCCUGGAAGUACUUAAGGCCAGGCUGGGUGGGGCUGUGAGCAACCUGGUCCAGAGAGAGGUGUCCCUGCCUAUAGUAAGGGGUUCGAACCAGGUGAUCUUAAGGGUCCCUUCCAACACAAACCAUUUUAUGAUUAUGUGUGCUAUCAUGUCAUGAGUACAUUUGAUUGGAUACAUCUUACUCUCUUCCUCUUGUCAUUUUCUGUGAAGUUUCAUGGUUGUUGCACUACUCUUGUUUGUACCUAUCCAGCUCUUCCAGACAUUAUGGACUAUAAUAACGAGUCAAUGACGAAGAUCCCCUAACAUUACUAGUCUUCCAUAUAGGAUGGAAGACUUUGCUCAUAAUUCUGUAGGUACAAAAGUAUCAGUACUGAAGAAACAAAGACCUUUUGGGAGCUGAUGAUGACAUGAUUCAAUAUAUGUGUGGUGCUUCUAUAAAAGGAAACAAAUCAAAAUAACUCUUUAAAAAAAUCUAAAAUUCUUACAUGGAGGUUACAGAUAUGACCAAUAUCAUCAUUAAAGGUCUAAUAUGAACCUUGCUUAUAUAUUAGUAAUAUUCUAGUAGUUGUUGAUUUUAAUCAGAACAGAUACCUAUACAGUAAAUCUUUCGUAAUGAAUGUGAGAUAGGUAACUGAAGCAAUAAAAAUUGAUCUUCUACUAUCAGGAUAAGCAGGGGUACACUAUGUGGGGAACAAGUGUUGACUGAUAUUUAGCUCCAUGCAGAGAGGGAUCUGGAAGAUAUAAAAGUCCAUCUCUCUAGUAUUAAAUCCUCUUCUCCUGCAAUUGAGAAUGUGUCCCCUGUAUAUUUAAAAACAGAACCACAGCAAAAUGUUCUCAGAUCUCCAGCUGGUCUGGGUAUUUUUCUGUCCUGAAAGAUAAAGGUCCCUGGGUCUUUUGUUCAUUCAAGUGGGAAGAUGUAAACUGAAAAACAAGGAAUGUUUCUCUUUAUGGAAUCAUUUGACAAAGAAAAAGAAGAAAACAAAAUUACUUUGAUAUCGAUAGCAGCAAUAAGUUAUUAGGAAAACCACCAACUUGAUUCUUUUUGCUGGUUGGCUGUGACUAGUGAAACAAUCAUCAAGUUACCAGAGAAUAUAAAAAAUGGAUAUGUGAAAAUGGUAAUCUUAAUUCAUAAAGGAAGGAAGAACAUGCUAAUGACAAGCUGGUAUUGAGGGAGCAAUUGAGGGAUCUAGCUGUGCAACUGAGGGAGACGAUUGUGGGACAGAGUCUUCUGAAUAUCAAAGAAAUAUUGUACAACUGGAUGUUGGUCCAAAUUCUGAGAACCAGAAUGCACUUCAAACAGACAGAUACUAUGGGCUUACAAAGUAGUUUGUGUGAAACGCUAUGGUCUGGGCUUGUUGGAUUAACUGACAUUUGUAAUGCCUAAAGACAGAAUCAAGGAGAUUUGUUUCAGUGAGUACUAAUGUAAGAGAAAUUUGGAAUUUCAUGGAUAUUGAAACUAGUUAUGGAUCUAGCAUGGAUUGUAGGCAAAAAUUCAUUGUCAAAAAAGUAUUUUUCUUUAACUUCACUCAUUUUGAAAAAGGAAAAAUAAAGCAUUUCGUUUUAGGAAUAGUUGAACAGUUUAUAUUAGUUUACAUUUAAAUUUAAAAGCAUUGUCAAAAGUAAUUCUGCUAAUGAAACCAACAAAAUUGAUUGGCUCCAAGUCAUCCUAGAAAUAAGGCCUUCCCUACUUCUUUGGGUUUUCCAUUUUGCAGUAAAAUAAACAUUGGAAUAUAUCCCUUUUGAAGAAACCUCAGCUGAACUCAGUUUGACAGAUCCGUUUUUAUCACUUAUUUACUGGUUCAACCACUGAAUGAAAACAGGAUCUGUAUUUUGCUUUGCCCUUUAUGUCAACAUCCUGAAUCAUCCAGAGCUUUGAUGUAGAUGCUCCUAGACUUUCUACAUGAGAUGCCUUUGGGAUGCAAGAAAAAGACAAGUUUAAAUAGAAUAUAAGUUAAAGAAAAAAGUAGAUUUUAAAAAAGAGUUCAAAGUCAGUAUGACAGAAAACUGAACAAAAAAAAAAUAAUAGGUUUUUUUUUUUUUUCUGUCUGACCAUUUUGUUGUUUUAGGGUUCAGCUUCCAAACAUCCUUUCAGUUACCCUCGUCCAUUUUUGACAUUCAGCUGCAUUCCCUGCAGAUGCAGGAAGUUUCCCAGCAACUCUGACUCAUGUAGCUCCUUGUUCCAGCUCUGAUAUUCCUCUGUACUUCCAAAUUGCUUUCGCCUUCUUGAAGAAAUAUAUACUUGGGAUAUAUCACAGUUGAGCAGUGUUCACAAAUAAAAAAUAAACGAUUUUAUCGAAUAUAUAAUUCAGAUACAUAUAUAUCCAAUUUCUAUCUGUCAUGUCAUUACAUACCUCGUGAUCAGCUUCAGUGAAAAUGUAGUGAGCGGUAUCAAUGGAAAGGAUUUCUGAGCAAUGUGUUCCCUGGUGAUACAGUGGGUGGGAAGACUGCAGGUUUAGCUCAUUCCAGUAGCACUGCCUUGGCAAGCUGUUUUCAAUGACGUAGGAAAGGUCUUUUUUUCUUUGGUUCAUAAACUAGGAAUUAGCAGCAAAUAUUUUGAAACUGCAUCUUGCUGUCAGGUUAUGCAGUGAAAAUGUGUCACUGCUUAUGGGAUUAGAAAGUCAGAGAGUCUUAGGUGACUGCAUGGAUUUACCAGUGUUAAUUAGGAAGUGGUGUUUGUAUCUUUUGAAACUUGUUGGCACAAAGCACAUCAUGUCACUAGAACAUAUAUGGCAUGUUCAGGCACAUAUAUUUGUGUGUAGUGAUGUACAUAUGUGAUUGCUGACUUGGAGAAUUACUGCGCAUUUUUUCUUAAUGAAGAAAAGGUAAUGAGUUUGUGUAAAUUUAUUGACUUUGGAACAUGAAUUGUAAAGUUUAAUUCCAGAACACACAUGGAUAUCCAAAAUAUUUCAAAGGUUAACAAAGAAGUCGAAGGGAAACCCAUUAUUUAUACAAAGAAAAAGCAGCCCUUUGCUGCUAACUGGGUGGCUUUCUGAAACAUGUUGACCUCAUAGCUAACAUCUUGACUGCAGAUAGUUUAUAAUACAGAAACACGUGGAGUUGUUGAAAGUAUAUUGGAGUUGAAAAGGUGAGAGGGGAAGGAAAAGUAGGGCAUACUGUAAGAAAUGCCAGAGAAUUUCAAUUACUGGAAGUUUUGUGGAGUUGGUUAGCAAGAAUGUCUGCUAAGAACAUAUAUUUUCUGGGGCUUUUAUUAAUUUUGGUUAUUGGAAUCGACCUUAGGGGAAAAAUCAUUUAAAGAGUAGCUGAUACUAUCGAAGAGUGGCAAGUGAAUUAAUAACAUUUAGAGAACUUGUUUUGUGCUAAACGCUGCUGGGUAUAUGUGCAUAAUAUAAAAACUUGUGAAAGGCAUUGCAGUUGACUAGCAAACAUUUAGAAAAUUAUUUACUGUAUGUGGAAGACUUGACAGGAGUUUUCCUACAUAAUCUGCAUGAUUAAGAAUUUGAAUCUUGAAGUCUGAGGCCCAAAAUCUGUAAAACACCACACUCUGUUACUUAAUACAAUCUGAAAACGUUUUAAAACUUACUGGUAUAUUAAAUACUAUUCUGAGUAAGGAAAUACAUACCCAAGUACCUGCUUAUAAAGAUUGUAAUAAUCUGUCAAUGGUUGGUAUUAAGUUUAUAUUAGAGGCAUGGCUGUUAAAAGAAAAAAAAAAUGAUAUAUAUAUAUAUAUAUCUUUUAACACACAUACAUAUAUACAUAUAAAUAAAUAUAUAUAUAAUCUUUUUUUUUUCAACAUGGAAAAUGAUGCUUGUCUUUACAUUUGCUUGGUCUUUAAAAAGACCAAGAAAUGAAUUGCAUUCCCACUGAAUUGUUACUGAAGGCUAAGAAAUCAUUUACAUACGUAGAAUUUUUGUGAGGAUUAUUUUCUCACUUAUUCUUCCUAGUAUGGAUGUUAUCAUCAGUAGGGGCUAAACAAGGUUGUUCCACAGACAAGCAUAACAAUGGUGACCACUUUUAGGGACUGUUCUCAUCAGUUAACAUGAUCGGUGGAUUUAGAUCAUCCUCAGGAAACAGUAAAAGCUGUUUUUCAAAAUGACAUUUAUUUUUUCAUGAAAAUUAUUCCAAAUUACCUUGAUGCCCAUCAAUAAUGCUUCAAUUUUUCAACAAUUUAAAUGGAGCAUUUGUCUGUGAUUUUCAACAUUACAUUCUCCUGCUCUCAAUACUUUCAGCUAUUUGUAAAAACAAUGGAAAAAAAUCUUCCAGUUAAUUCAAAUAGUAUUAACAUUAAAUAGUAUGCAGAAAAUUGAGGAGAACAAGACAGGACAAUAUAGAGGUUGAGACUGGGAGACGGGGUAAGACAGCAAGGAACGGGAGAAGACUGUAUGGAACUGUCAGUGUGACAGGUUCAACAAGAGCUUUACACUUUACACUUAAUACAAUAAAUCACAUAGAAUCAUAGAGCCACCAAGGUUGUGAAGGCCCUCCAAGAUCAUUCAGUCCAACUGUCCACCUACUGCCAGUAUCUCUCACUAGACCAUGUCCCCCAGUACAGCAUCUAAACGUUUCUUGAACACCUCCAAGGAUGGUGACUCAACCACCUCCCUGGGCAGCCUGUUCCAGUGCCUGACCACUCUUUCAGAGAAUGAAUUUUUCCUUAUGUCCAACCUGAGCCCCCCCCCCCGGCACAACUUGAGGCCAUUCCCUCUAGUCCAGUUGUUAGUUAAGCGGGAGAAGAGGCCAACCCAUAACCUAACCCUAACCCUAAACAUCCUUUUAGGUAGUUGUAGGGAGCAGUAAGGUCUCCUUAGAGCCUCCUCUUCUCCACACUAAACAAUCCUCAGCCGCUCCUCGUGAAGCUUGUACUCCAGACUCCUCACCAGCUUUAUUGCCCUUCUCUGGACAUGCCCCAGGGCCGUCAUGUCUUUCUUGUAGCGUACUCAUUAUGACCUAUAUACGACUAAUCCUGAAGGUUUUUAUAUAAGGUGGCACUAGCAACACCCCAACCAAUACCUGCUGUGCGGUAGCCAGCCUAGGACUUGGUGAACUUGAAGCUUUGAAGGCGAAAAGUGAGAAGUGUGAGUGUUGAAGCUGAGAGCACCUCUUCCAUCAGACAGUACUCACAGUUCUUCCUUGGCCACUUUCAUACCUGAGUCUGGGUUUAGAGCUCCCUAGUUAAAGGGAAUACCUCUCUUCAAAACUAACUUAUUUUAACAUAUAUCUCUUAUUUUCAACCUCAAAUUGAAUCUUGAGAUGAGCUCGGAACAUUUUAGUUUAAUGUAUUACGGGCUAGCAUGUGUCCUAUAGAUAAUUAUCUUUUUAUUGAAAAGCUUGUACAAUAAUUUUAAAAUACAAUUAGUAAAUAAAAGGUUUUCUCAGAUAAUGGGUUUCCUGUGAUAAAACCAAGGAGAACCUUUGUCUCAGUGCUUUUUCAGCUCUCACCAAGUUUAUUUGUGUAUUAUGUGUCACACAGGCUAAGAUCUCCUUGGGGAUUUAUUCAGCUAGUGACCGUUAAUUGAAAAACUCAUUUCAGAUAAUCCUUGUGGAUGAAAUUAACCUCUUGAUUCUGAUGAAGUCAUACAUAACCAAUUUCAUUGUGAAGAUAUAUUCUAGGUUUAUUUUUAAAUGUCAGUUUGGGAUGCUUUUUUUUUCUUUUUUCAUUAGCUAUUAUACUAUACUUUUUUUUUUUUAAAGAAUAUUAUUGUUGCUCUAUUAAAAUAUAAGAAUAAUCAUACAGUUCUUUGUGGUCAUACUGCAUUACAAGCUUUAGAAGGACUAUAAAACUGUCCUUGCUGAUUUUCCAUGCUAACAAAACUAUUCCUAAGCCUGACUUGCAUAAUUCUUAAUCUGUUCUAAUUGCAACAUAAUCGCACAUUGUUUUGUCCUUCUAAUAAAUAUUUAGAAUUAAACCUAUAUAGGGAUCUUGUAUCUCUCUAGCAUAGGAGUAGUGUGUCUGUGAGGCUCCCUCUAAAAUCUGUAGGGAGGGAUGGUGUCCUGAAUCAGUUUACAAGCAGAUAAUUAUUUUGCAGAAGUGAGCAGCAGUACAUUCUCUUUCUCUUGCUAAAUAUUUAAAUAUUUUAAACGCUGUGCUGCAUGCAAACUCUAAUACUGUGUGCAUGGAUUAAGUCUUCAGCAUGCUGUCAGAUUUCUGCUCUUUAGUACCUUGCAGCCUUGAAGAUGAGAAGCCAACCAAAAUGGCUCUUUUGGUGUUCCAGAGUAUAUAUGCAUACCUAUACAUAAACCAGUAGCAAUCUAGUUGUCAUACAAUUUUUAUAUAAAAUUACAUGUUUACACAUAUGCUGUCAGAUUAAAAGACCUGAAUUAUCAAAUCAUCAGAAGUCAGAAAAAAGAAAACCAGCACUAGCUGAUGAUUCGUCUGAAAUCCAUUGCCUGAGCUUCCAAGCAUGAGACUGUGCUGAGAACCUGAUAACAUACUGUUUUCUCCAGCGUCCUGUAUCCCUCAAGGCACAGGAUGUAUUUACUACUUUCCUUGUGAUUUAUUCUCUGACAUUUAUCAUACAGCAGCUGAACAUUUCCCCUUACAAACUACCUUCAUAGUAUUUCUAGUGAGGCAAUUGGUUGCUUGGUUGGUUGGUUUUGGUUUAUUUGUUUUUACUGUUCUAUGGAUUAGCACCUAAAGGAGUUGAAGGUUAGUUUUUGGUAAUUUUAGAAGCCCAGCUAGAGAUGCUUUGGCCCUGAUUUUUAUUUUCUCAAGAUUUAGAGCUAUAUAGGAUCUUCUGAAUUUAGUGCACAUAUCUCACUGGCUUCCACUGCAGGUGUACCAGCUUAGCACAUCUACACAUCGGACCUUAGGACUUCCUGUAUACAUCCAAAAAGUGAGGGACAGGCAAUUAGUGAACAUGUGCAAAGGGUUUGAUUCUAUCUUGCAUGACAGGCAACAUACAGGAACUUUCUGGCACAGAAAGGAAUAAAAGGCAGUUCUCCAGCCCACACUGAACUCCUGUAAUCACAGCACUGCAUUUCCUCUUUUUGCAACUCCGUGCUAUAUUUGCUACCAUAGUCCAAUUUAGUCAUCAGAUGCUGCCAGAGAAAGUGAAAAUCAGUUUAUCUCUCAGAGUGUGCAUGUAAAGUGCACUUCAUCCUUGACCGUGCAUUAAGUGAUUUCAGUUCUCAGUGCCUGCGUAUCUUGGAGCUCCCGCAUACCCUUCACACACUACACUCAUGGUUAAGAAGUUUGUAUGCAGCAGCUUAACACGAUAUGAAAGUACAACCUUUUUUCCCCGUGUACCUAAAUCUUGAUUUUAAUGGAGAGUCAGUGUUAACCUCUAACAUCCUAGUAUAGUGCAUGCUUUUCUUUAGUAGGCUGUGUGCUGUUUUCUCUUGUGCUGGUAUUAUGAAGAUGUGGGUCUUGGUAGGGCUGAUGCAUUUCAGAAAGUUUGAGGGCUCAGGAGAAAAUUCUGCACAGUGUUUGAAUCUCUCAAGGUGUGUGGCUGCUCAGUGGGAGUGGGAGCAUCAAUUUCAACCUUGAUUUUAGUGUUCAAAAUUGAAUUUACCUCAUCAAAUGUGUAUAAUGACUUUGGGCAAAUUUUCACACUGAAAACAAGAAGUAGUUUUUAUGUUCAGGCUCAACUGUAAGUACUGUGGAGAUUUUUCCAGAAAUUAGAUUUUUUCUAAAUGAAACCUCAAAUUAUUUUAAUCAAAGACAACAACCCUACUGUGUAAUGCAGAAAGGAACAAGGAAGUCUUUAAUCCAAAUAGCUGAAUUUUGGUGAAAGUAGAAACUGCUGAAGUUGAGAUUUUCUAGCAAAGUUCAGGCAAUAUUAUUAUAUGGUGACAUCCCCAUGGUUUUAAUCAAGCUUAAUUUCAAACAGAAACUUCUGUGAGCAAGACUGUGUCUGAAGAGAGAAUGACCCAAUCUGAGUCAUUAUAACCAGAUAUUAUAUUGACCCAAAAUGUAGUGCUGUGUCAUUUGAAUCAGAAGCAGAUGGAAUAACCCAGAAUCAUCUCCUUACUGGUAUGUACUGGUGCUGCCUGCACAGAAGCACCUGGAAAACAGAGAAUUUCUGCUUAAGUUCAAGUAUUAAUAUACACCAAUGUGGUCGUGGGCUGCAGGGAUGAUAUGGUAUAGCACUGUACGCUACCACCAGCAUGAUAUCUAGUUAAAAAUGUACAAAAAUUGUCCUUUUAAUUUUAUUACACUCUUAUAGAGAAAAGGCUGAUAUAAUAGUGGAAAGUAUGGUCUCUCUGGAAACAGUUUCUCUCCACGUAGGUUAAAAUAGGAGAGACUUUUGCUUAUGAUCCCCUAGCAAGAAGAAUUUGGACCACUUACAAGAAGAAAAACUAGUAAAAAAUAUUAUCAAGUAGAUUACUAUUGUCAAUGAUAUAUAUCUGAAUUACCUGAGACUUCAUUAUCCUCAUUAUCUUCAGGGCUUGUAAGAAAGCUGUAGGUGAAUUAUCCUACCCUUUCUCCAAGAAUAAAAAGGGAUCAUGGUGCUCUUGACACAUAAUGGUUUUGAUUUUGUGGGAAGUAAGGAAGACAUCUCCUUUCUUUUUGUCAUGAAAGAUUGUUGCAUUCCCAACUUGCUAGCACUGAGAAGAUAAUGUGAGCCUCCCAUCAGCAAGCUCAAUUAGAGGGGUUAUUCUGCUCCCAUACCAACUGUAACUGUGAGGGGCAACCUCAUUAGCGCAUGGCCUGCUGAAUACAGACAAUAUUUUUGCCUUUUCAAGCUGGAAUGCAUUUUUGCUGAUAACGUAUUCCUAGCAAUUAUGUUUUCCCCCAUCAAUGUUAUAUGUGUCUAGGGCUUUGGAAUAUGGGCUCUUCUUUAUGUCUGUCGCUGUUGAAAAUAUUUGGAAGAAAUAUAACACACCAGCCUCCAGCUCAUGCGUGGCUGUUGGCAAAAUCCCUACCAGUCAGCUUGCACUGGCAAUACACUGAGAAAUGCAUUGUAGGUGCCUGUUCAAGUGUUUCAGUGCUGAGGAUGUAAUUCAAGCGUUUUGAGCACCCUCCUGCUAUUGAAAAUGGAAACGUUUCUUUGUAACUUGGACUUCAGAAAUGACAGCAGCGUUCUCUACAAGCACCUGAUUUACAAACAAAAACAGACAAACAACAACCAAAAACCAUGGUGAGAAACACUUAUAGACAGAUCUGUUUGUUAACUUUCUCUUAUUCCUGACAGCAAUGUUUUAAAUUGAAGAACAUGUUGACAGAAGAAUGUAUGCUUGCAAAACACAGAAAAAUAGAGGAAAUAGAAAUCCUUAGAAUUAGCUGUUCUAAGCUCUUCUCGGUAUGAAUAUGAUAAAGAAGAUUUUCUUGCAACGGAGAUAAUAAAUUAUUUUGUUUCUAUUAUUUGAUUUAAUGUGCUCUUUAACAUUUUCUUUUAACCAAAGUGGCAGAAAGUGGUCUUCACAGAGCUAAUUCAAUUAAAUAAUAAGUCCUUCUUAGUGGAUUAGAGAAAUGAGGAAAGUUGAGUAUUUCAGGAGGGAAAAGAAAAGCAAAUAUUAUCAACAUCAUAAUUAAUGCAUAAACCACAGGAAAUGUUAUUAUGAAGUUUAUGUAAUUAUAUGAUCCAUAUGCAGUUUCCCUACGAGUAAUCUGAAGAGUAUUUUCAUAGCAGCAAUCAUCCAUUUUUCUGAGCUGCUGUAGGACCAGUUUUGCUACAAGGGGUAUUCUGGAGACCCCUCCCUUGUAGAAUAAAGGACAGCAGAUGUACUCAGUUUGCUCUGUUUUGGCUUUUUUUUCUUUUCCUGUGGUGGAAACUUAGUGUAUAGCUGUUUUAAGCUACUAAUAAAUUAAUUACAAAUGAGAAACUUCAGCAUUGAUUUUUACCUGUUCAAGCUACCAUCUAAUAACAGAAUCAUAGAAUCACUCAGGUUGGAAAAGACCUUAAAGAUCAUCGAGUCCAACCAUGACCUAACCAUACUACCCUAACUAACAACCCUCUGCUAAAUCAUGUCCCUGAGCAGGGAAUGUAUUUUAUGGAAUAUGUUAUUUUUAUAUCUCUGUAUAAUAUUAUAUAUUUAUAUUACAUGUUUAUGGAACAUAUAUAUUCAAAAGAAACACUUUAUAAGAAAAUACCCCUUACCUUUCCAUCCUCUUAAACCAUUAAUUCCUUGAGGUUUAUUAUGUUGUUUUUGUACUUAGGCAGUGACAUAGCUAACUUGAUCUCAGAUGUGUAAAAGUUAGGCUUCUAGUCUGCAUUGCUCAUUGUCCAUAUUGCAAAGAUGGACACAGAAAGAUAGAAAUCCUUGGACAGUGUUUUGCUCUCCUUCCCUCUUUCCAUUAAUUUUAAGAAAAGCUCAAGCACAGAUGCUAGAUUUUUAGGUGGCUGAAAUUUGAUUAAAUGAUGCUGUGAUUAGUGCUGGGCUCUCCACAUUGGUGUUUUCCACUUUUCCUACUCAGCCUGGGGGAACGUUGAGUAGAAGCAACAUGCUGCACUUUAUCUUUCCAGAACAGACCACUUCCCGUGAGGAUUUUGGGCCAAACAGAACAGUUUCCAAGUGCUGUAUUCAAAAUUUCUUAUGAUGCUCAGCCUUAUUUUGAAUUUUGCUUGGUCUGGUUUUGCUUAUGUAGCAGAGCUGAUGGCAUCUGCUGGGAUGGUUUACAGACUGCAGUUUUCUGUCUUCAUCUAGAAUCAAUAUGAACACCAUAAAAAAGAUGCUGUGGGUUAUUAAAAUCAUUUUAACAACAUUGUUGACUCAACAAGAGCAAGAAGAUAAUGCCUAAGGAUUCUGAAUUUUUCACUGUUUUUUUUUUUUACUGGAAAAAUAAUAACUUGGUUCAGGCACAUUUGCUUGAGUGCUGUUUUUUUUUUUUAAUAACUGAGCCUGCUGCUUCACUGUUGUAGCUCACAGUGGAUUAUAAGCCUGGUUGUUAUACUACUUUACUCUCUGUGAAUCUUGUUAACAAGGUGACUAUGCAUUUUGUAAGGAAAUAAGUAAUGACUGUAUUAAAAUACAGACCAAGCAUUUUUUUGAGAAAAUGGGGCUUGCCUUUCUUGUCUGGUCCUUUGUGGUUCAAAAUCUUACCCAACAGUGUAUGACUUUCUAGAAUAAAAUACAAAUUCCAUACUAUGGUCAUUAAGACCUCCAAAAUGGAAACCUGGGUGGCUUAAGAAUUAGUUUGAGAUAUUUUCCAAUGAGCAUAUCCUUUGAAAAAGCGUUAUUGAGACAGAAGUUCUUCCUGAGAAAAUAUUCCUCUUGCUGUGUGGAAGGGACGAGUCAUUCUCUGAAAAGGUAUCUUGUCUGAAGCAGUUGGUGGGAGAUUACUGAGUGCUGCUUCUGCCUCUUUUGGGUUAUGGAGGGCAGUCCCUGAAGGUAACAUUGCCACCUUGGGCUCCAGUGUUGUAAGUGUUCAUGUAGGAAGUUCUGCCAAGAAAAUUAUUACCUAACCCUUGAAAGCUGCUUGUUACCUUUAGAACAGGGAGACCAAACUCUGAUGCUCUUCUCAAAGCAGAGGAAUUUAGCCUUUUUCACAUACAGUAGAACUAUAUCUCACUACAUUGAGAUUUUCUUACUCUAAGGUUGUUUCUUCUGAAUGGUGACUUUGAGAAACUGUUCCUCAGUGAAUGGCUGCAAAGUCUCUCUAAUAGCUGUUCUGUUUCUGAUCUGUCUGUAAUUUAAAGAUACUUUUUUUUUUUUUUUAGAAGUAUUUAAAUCUGUUUUAAAUAGUAAGAAAAUCGUGAGCUUUUGUUAUUUUUCUGUUUUGGGGUAAUUAAGAGAAGAGUUCUGCAUUACUGCUAAGAAGGUUGGGAUGACUGCUAGUGAAGUACUCACGAGGGAGUUACUAAUCCAUUAAUGUGCCGUCCAUUUUUCUUCUGUUGGUCCUUUUUUCACUUGAGUGCUUGAGACAGUCUGCCCCUGUGUCACUUAAAUAAGUGGUAUGUUUUAUUCAUUCUCUUAAAGAACAGAUGUUAUGGUUACUCUCCUAUGUAAAGAGUGGUGGAGUGGUGAUGUUUAAACAGUUUUUAUGAUAAUGGAGAUGUUUAGUCAUGUUUAUGUGAUUAGGGAGAUAAUACAUGCCCUCUAUUCUGUAACUUGAGACAAGUUAUGGUCAUGUGUGAAACAGCAAGUGCCAUAUAACGUUAAUUGUCUUCACUUGCUGUAGUUAUGGGAAGUCAUUUCAGAGUUCUUGCUCAUUUUUGCUUUAGAGGAGGUUGACCUGUGAUUCUGGCCAUAUAUUUUGUUUGCCAAAUGGAAGAAUUGCUCUCAUUCCCAAAUACUUCAGCCUAAUAACCUGGCUUUAAUAUUUGACUUUAAAUUGAAUCUUGUUCCCACUGCUGAAAAUAGUGGUUAGCUAAGUUACAGAUACAAUACUUAAUCCUCUCUUCUUUGAAAACUGCGGUAAACUGUCUUUCAACAUGGCUUUGCUUUGUAGAUAAAGGGAAAGGAGCGCGCCCAAAUGCUGUCUGCAGCAAGAAAAUCUGUUCUGUCGUUGCUAUUAUGCUCUGGGAGCUUCUGCACCUCUUGUUGUGGCCUCAGGUCAGCCAAAGGCUUGCAGGAUUGCUUACAUCUAGUUUCAGCAAAGCAUUCAAUUGUGUGCUUAACAUUAAAUUCAGCAGGACUUUUACACACACUUAACUUCAGCGCUUGCCAUUAUCAGUAAGAGUGGUUUGCUCCAUUGGGAUUACAGGAAGGAAAAACAGAUUAUCCCGGUGAGGUGGAUAUCUGUGGAUGCCUGUAUUUGUACCAACAUCAAAGGAAUCUUUUUUUCAACUCUGGAGCACUCACAUCAAAACCACAAUGCUUCCUUUGCAAUCAUGCAGUUAGCAAAGGAAAGAAAGCAAGCUCUUACCUCCCUCUGAAAACAGCCCACAUAAUUCCACAUCCCAGCUGCUCCAUCAGGAUGAGGAAGGGCACCUGGAACUGCCCCAUCUCCCCUUGAUGUUGCCAAAGAGGGGUGGAGAGGAAAGGUUUGUUUCUGUGGAAGGAAGUCUGUGAAGAUCCACCUGCCCUGCUGUUUGAGUCCCCCUUUUUCUAUUCUCCCCUUGGAAAAAGUCAUGUCUCCUCACUGUAUCUGUCUUUUCUCAUUCACUAGUUUCCAGUUAAUCACCCAGUGCCUGACCAUUCCUCUACUCAACUUUGGCAGGAUAGAACCUGCUACUUCCAUUUUUGACACAAAAUUCAUAUUAAUAAGAGCCAAGCCUAUACUGACUAACAGUCUAAUGCUAAUCCAGAUAUACUGCCACAUUUUUGCUUAGGAUCCACCUGAGAUACUGUGUUACUUGGCACCCACAGAGCAUGGGAUUUCACAGUUGUAUUGAUUUCUGACACAGUACUUCAUUAAAGUCACCAAAAGAAGAUGGGGUAGGGGAAAUAUAGAACAGACCUACUAGCAAAUUAACAAUUGGAUGGAAGCAUGUGAUCAUCCUUUAUGAUAGAUAUGGGCUACCAGCUGAUUCAUGUAUCUGUGUCGAUCAUGUGUGAGCUAGGUCUGUAAAAGGGAAUUACAUUCAGUUGACAGAAGUCUGCAUGUGAUACAACAUUAUAUAUUGAUAGUCCUUGUUUGUUAACUUAUUUUCUUUUCAUUUGCCACUGUUAUAAGAGGAGCAUUUAAAUGCAUAAGAUUUAUUCAUAGUAGCAGUAAUGUUAGCCUUUCUAGCCUUUAUGAGUAUUCACUUGAUUGAAGCCUGGAAAAGCCUCAUGCUCUAAUUAGAGACUCUCUGCAUUAGAAUUCAGAUCUGUUGCAGUCCACGUUUUGAAGGCCAGUUCUUCAGAAAUGAUACCCAAGCUAACAUUUUUCCCAACGAACCACACUAUAUUACUACAUAGAGAGAUCUCAGGGGCAAAUUUUCCAUUUGUUUGCAGUACUGUGUGGAGUAGGCUUGAGUUCUGGACAGACUGGCACCAGAAGGCUGGAAGGAAUUCAGAGAAAUCCAUCAGUGAUGAUUAAAGAUUUAGAUUUCACAAAGACAUUUUAAAAACUAAUUAUAUAGAAUUUGUCUGGAGGAUUAAGUAACAGUAUGCCAGUGGAGAAUUAUUCUCACAGGAGAAAGCUAAUUUCUGUUCCUAAAUAAAUAAGUAAAUAAAUAGUACUAAACCUUUGCUUUGCUAGUCUAUAGAAAUUGCAUGCUGGAGGACAGUAUAAUUUGUAGCCGGCAGUGUCCUUGUCUAUGUUAUGUUACAUGAUCAGCUUAUUGUUACUUAAUGUAUAGCUGUGUUCUCAUCCCAAUUACUGUUUUACACUUCUCUUCCAAAUUUUGAGUGAAGCUGAUGGUUAAUUAGCCAUUCAGCAUACACUAUGAUUGCCCACUGGGUGCUUCAGAGCCAUCAAAUGACUAGACAGCCAAUUUAGUAGAGUUUGAAGCAAUCAGUGGGAAUGUGGAAGGUGGAGUCCCUCAAACCUUGCAGUUUUUGGUCGGGAAAGGAAAAACGGAAUUACUCUGUGCAGUUGUUAAACAUCUCUAGCAUAACAGGGCUUGAUUCUGAUUAGAUGUCUGACUACUCAGAAGCAUUGAGUGGCUGUGCUGGUUUUUGGUGGAUUAGCUCAAGUACAUGGGAUCUUGAAAAUAAUAGUGCAAUCACAUGCUUGGAAAAUAAGAGAACAGUAUCUGCUUCUGUCAGGAAGAGCCUACAGAAAGUAGAUAUAACGUCCUAUGUGUGUGUAACAUUUGUGUGUGUAGUAUGUACGACCAACUUCAACGGUCAUAAUAGGAAUGUACAUCUUUAUUUCUGUUCAGCACUCUGAAAUUGCUGAGCCAUAAAUUUGCAUUUUCUAGGCUUUUUCGCAGUGAGAAAUGAUUGGGAGUAAUUUCUGUUAAAAAUAUCUUACACAUGCAAGUAUUUUCACAGAUAAAACAUCGUGUAGUUGCUCAGAGGUGCAGAAAAGGCAGCGUGGUUUUGUUGAUCAUACUUGGAUCUGUGUAUUAAUUGAAUGUAUGAUUAACUCUUUGGCAGAAAAAAACUGUUUGACAUCUGAAUGAUUUCUCAGGUACUUCUGGUUUGCAUGCUUCCCUCCUGUUCCUGUUGCCAUUUAAACUGAUCAUCCUUUGGUCUGUAUGAGGUUAAUUGAUACUUAAGGAUUAGACCACUAAUAAGCAACUGAUACAGACUUGUUUUAAGAUGCAGAAAAAUUCUGUACAUGUGUUUUUGUUUGUUGAUUUGUUUGUUUGUAUGCAGAAUGAGAGUGGCAGCAGAAUAUUGCAUGCUCAGGAUGUCAAAAUGUGAUUAUAUUCAUCACAGUCGUACUUUGGUUUCAAAAUCAGUGAAAUAUCAGGCAGGAAAAUAUUGUCAUCGUUACCAUGUAAGUGAGCAUUCUUAUCCUCCAAUAUAAAAUAUCUGGUGAAAUCAGUAAUCGAUUAAUACAAUUUUUAUUACACUUAGUAUAAUAAUUUUACUGAGCUUGUUUUGUACACCUUAUGCAUGAAUAGUAAUGGAAGUUUCCAUGUUUCUGACAAUUGGCUAUUGCUUAAUUUCAAGAGAUUCUUAUAAGAGAUGCUAAGGCCCAGAGCUUCCAUUAGGAUUCAUUUCACGCAUCUGGGUAGUCUUCUUGCCACAAUCUUCAGAUGUUUGUAUUGUCACUGGUACAAUUCCCUUGAAGCUAAAGUUGAAGAAAUCUUUAUUGAUAAGUCAACUCUGUUUGCCUUUUACCUUAACUGUAAGUAGAUGAAAACCUGUAUGUGCAUUUGUACACAUCUGAAUAUUUUAGGUCUGUGUUUCCUAGUUUAGAUGGAAUCCCAUGCACUAUGAAAUUCUCAGUCAUAAGCUUAGCAUAUAGCUGAGAAUUUUUAAUCAUGUGCCUCAGGUCAGCACUCUUUAUGCAGAAUACUUUGCUUAUUUGGUGAGAAGGAAGGCUGUUAUGUUUUCAAUUACUGAAAAUCAAAUAAGGACUGUAAGAAAAGGAUACUAAGAUAGCAUGGGGAAGUGAAAAACCCAGAGCACUGAACUUGAUGAUAAACCAUAAAUAAAUAAAUAAAUAGGAAAAAGCAAUGAAGAAAGAGCUCAGGUCCUAGAUGUUUUACAGAGAUUCCCAGUAACAUAUUAGGAAUAGCCUAACCCCUGUGUACAGAUACUACAUUCCCUCUUAAGCACUGCAGAUGUCCGUGAAAACAGGCGUGACUGGAAAACAAAAGCCAAUGAGGAGCUGUAACAGGAGCAUGGAACAAUCCAGUUUUUACUGGUUAAAUGAGUUAAAGCAUGAAAGAGAGAGCUGAAACCAUAAUAAGGUGAAAGACGUGCAUGAAAUGGCAAAGGAUAUUUUAGAAUGCUCACAAGUGAUGAGUGGGCUAAAUGUUCAAAUAGUUCAGAAGAAAUAACCUUUAGAAAUCCUCCUGGCUGACAUGAUUUACUGUUUUGUUUUGUUGUUGUUUUUUUUUUAAUCUGACCAAGAUAAUCCAUUCAGCAAGUCCUCAAUAAAUUGCAGUUAAAAUAAGCCCAUUUAAAUAAAGCCCAUUUAAAUAACAAGAUUAAGUUAGGAUAGUUUGAACAUUUUUUUUACAUCAAGCUGCAAGGUACUCUGAAUUUUGGAUUUUUCUGGCUGUUAUGAUAGUCAUUCAUGCCACCAGUAUCUCUGGAAGUCCACUAAUUAAAUACUCAUAUUGUGCAGUUCUUCAUCUCUGGAAAGCUCUGGAAACUCUUCUGGCAAUGUAUAGCUAUACAAAACCAUCUUCCUGUGAUUUGAAGUAGCGGUGUUUUGGAGAGAUGAAUCGAAAAGAAAUCAUAAAUCACACUUGAAGACUUGCUUCCUUUUGGCCUCUUAGAAUUUCCUAAAGUCAAAGAAGCCUCCACUUCCAAAUCUAACAAUCCAGUAGUACUGAGUAUACACAUGAUUAAAACCUUAAUAUCAAAUUCACUUUGUGAGAGAGUGAGAAACUAACAAAUAAUCCUGUUUUUUUUUUGGUCUUUUGAUCUCCAGAUCAAUGCUUAGCUGUCAGUGUGAGCUGCAUCUUAAAUAGACAAGGAGGACUUGAUCUAUCUACAGCAUCUGCUUUAGAUGAUAAAAGAGACAGUUUGACCUAGCUAGAAAGUGUUCCUGAGACACAGAAGAUGAAUAUUGUUUUAAUGGCCUGCAAAUUUAAGAACGAAAUACAAGUGAUCUGAAAUACUCUAUUGCCAUUGCUGUAAAUAAACAAUUAGCAGCUCAGGCUAAUGAAAUGGUUGUUCUUUGGAAAUUUGCAGUACUAAACAGCAGAUAUGCCAAGUGGAAGUUCUGUGCAUUACGCUUUACGUUCCCUUUGUGGAGUUAAAGGUUAAAAUAGUUUAGCUUUGUAUUGGAAAUUUAUGUAACCUCUCUUCUUACCAUCUCUAAAAGACUGCAGACUGACACUUUAUAUUGGUGAUUCUUAGCCUGUGUAUUGCUUUAGCUGAUUCAGUGGUGGUUGAAUUUCACUACAGUGCAUGGCUGGUUGUGGUACUCUUGUAUGCCUGUAAUUUAAAACGUAGAUGAUAGGUGGAAGGAUAUACUUGACAGAUAUAGAAAUAAUGUUUAGAUCUGUUACACCUAUUCAAUUCAACAUGAUUUUUAAAUGCUUCCUCUCUCUGAAGACUUUCCUUGUUUAUCAGAUACCCACCAUAUUUUACUUCCACGGUUACUCCCUUUUUCCAUCCCUGCUUUAUACUGGUAACUCUAUAUUUGCAUUUUCCUCCUCUUUAUAUUUACUGCUUGCUCAGACUGUCCCCUUAUAUUUAAAGAAGAAAUACAGCAACGCUGAACAGAACUCAAGUACCGCAUUUGAAUGUUUAAACUGAGGCAGUACUUUGGGAAACGUACCCAUUUUAACUCCCUCCAUUCAAUUAUUUACUUUAUUUUGUAGUCGUUCCACUUCCCUUUCUUCUUCUGAUAUGCUGUUCCAGCAUGUGUCACAAUUUACCUCAGGCACGACGGAAUUGCGAGCAGUCACCACGUUGACUUUGAGCUAUAAGACUGGAAGAAUGAAUUCCACCUGGGUGGUGGCUAGAUUGUGUUAAGGUGUUCGUAAAAGAGAGGAGAUAAUGUUUAUUAUUUUUUAUUAGGGUUUUUUUUAUGAGUAGGCCCAGCCUCAGAUAACAAGUCAACAGUGCUAAAUGUUACAGAAGCAGAAAACUAAGAUUUUGUGGCAUACUUGAAAAAUCAGGGUAGCAAACCAUUUUUUGUUUUAAGUCUUCAUCUGUAAUGUAGAAAACAGCUUUCUUUAACUGUGGCUUUAGAUUAUAAAUGUGACUGUGGAGAAACUGUCCCUCCAAAAUACAGAUAAUUAGGAUAGGAUGCUCCCCUUAUCCAAGCUCAUUAUAUUACUCUGCCAUAAAAGACCUCGCUGAGGUAGAGUUGCUGUAGCAUCUUUCCUUUUAUGAAGUCUGCAUUAAUUAAUCCAUAAAUGUAUAACUUCAUUUUUAGGUUGUCAGCUGUGUAUGUUUUUCAAGCUUUCCAAGCUCUCGUUCUUUUGUCUUUGAGUGAAAAUUUAUUCUUUCAGAGGUUGAGACAUUGUAAUGAGCUAGACUCAUUAACAAACCAUUGUAGCAUUGAAAUACAAACCUCUGGAUAAGGAGGUGCUCUACUUUGUUGCAAACGUCUGCAUGUUUGAACAGUGAGUGUUCAGUCAGGCUGUCCUCCACUUUCCAUUUCCUAACAAAUAAUUUAGUGUUUGUAUUACAUAAAAUAUCUUUGACAUCUUACCUACUAUCUGUGUCAACCAGUAUACAUGAAACAAAGGAUGAGAAAAAAUAAGAUAAUCUUCAGAUCUUGCAGUUGAUAGAAAUGUAAUUGCUUAUGCGAUCUUUCCACAUACUCCAAAUACACACUUGAGGAAAAAAUGUAGGUGGCCAUGUGCUCAAUUCUGACAAAACAGGGUUUUUUUAUAGGCCAGAAAUACCCAUUUUUUCUUUAUAUAUAUAUAUAUAUAAACCCACCAAAACUGAUAAAUCUCAUUCUGACUGAGGGACAUUACGUGGGGGUAUAACCGAAUACAUUGCUGCUGUACCCAUACAUGAAUACAGGAUGAAGUGACCUUUUGUUGCCCGCAAUUUCCAGCCAAAUCUGCAGAGCUGUGCUUGGAUAAGUGCAGAACCACAUGAAAUACUGAAACUGUAAAUAAAUAUUAGAAGAUAAAUUUAACUGAACAGAUAUUGGCCUAAAAAUAUAUCACUUAGAAUAUCCAUUAUUAUAGCCUAAGACCCAAUAAAUGCCUAAGUUCUUUGUUUGUAAAAUUAUUUCUUAUAAAAAAUUAUAACUGUGUCCUGCAUCACAAUAGAUACAUGUGCUGAUGCAGAAAAUUAGGUUAUACGUACUUUGUGCUUUCGUAGUUACUGUGGUUAAUGGAUAAAACUACUGAUUCACAGUAAAGAUUUAUUAAACGAGGUAAAGUAGUGACAACACAUUUAGUAGCCACAAAUUCAUGUUCCAAGUUAAACUCAAGUUGGUAUAGUGGAAGUGUCCACAAAGAAGGCAGAAAUCGAGUCUAAAAAUAUGGGAGUGGUGGGUUAGUGCAGAAGGUCUGUAAGCAAAAGAAAUAGAUGACAAGGCUAAAAGCAAGCAGAACUAAAGCAGAAAGAGCUUUCCAGGCUGUAGAUACUUUGGGAGUAUAAACUUCUAAGGGGAGAAAGAACUUAAAGCAGGAGUGUCCAGCCCGUGGCCCUGGACAGCAAGCAAUGUGGCCCCACACGAUCACAGACUUUUAACACUGUAUUGUGAUUUUUAACAAUAUUUUUCUAGAGUCAAUUGCACAUAGCUUGAGCGUGGACUGCAUGGGCAAUAGCAGAAUGCUGUGGAAGGGAGGGCUCAGUGCAGUGCGAACUCCACCUCUCGCGCUCACCACACACACUUCAACCUACCUACAGAAGUAUGUGCCCGUGGAGGCACAUGUUUUCUGUUAUUAAGAAAAUAUGUAUAUUUUCUUGGGCUUGUGUUAUUUUGUUAAAAUAAUUUGAUAAGUUAGCAUGUUCAUUAGUUUCACAAAAAUGAGGCCAAAUGUCCUGCAAGUUUUAUGUUGUUGUUGUCCUCUUUUUAUUAAUGUUUUAAUAAAUAGAUAAAUAUAGAUACAUAUAUAAUAAAUAAAUAUAUAUAUAUACAUAUAUACAUGUAAGUUUUGUUACUUACAUGCAUUAGCUAUGUUAUAUAGUUUAUAUAUGGCCCAAGACAAUUCUUCACACAGUGCGGCCUAGGGAAGCCGAAAGGUUGAACAUUUGUGACUUAAAGGGAACACCAAAAAGUAAACAGAAUCAUUGUAAUCUCCCAUGCACUUUUUAAAAAUAAAACUAAUGUAGUCCAAGUCUGGUCUAGACUGAAUAUAAAUUAAGAGACUUUUCUUCCAGCCUUUUAAUUUAGCUAGCAAACAGCUGUCCCACACUUAUCAUAAGUUUUGCAGCUCUCUUAUUUUUGUCCUCGACUGUCACCCCAUGGUCUUACUGAAUAACCACACACCCCCUACAGCAGGGCAUCGUGUGAAAAUACAGGUAGACAACUUGAAAGCUGAUUAAGAAUUUUAAUCCGUUUUAUUCACUCUUUCUUAUUUUCAAAAUAAUAUUUGAAGAUACAGCCUCAAGAUUCAUAAAACAUAAUGCUAAAGAUUAAGAACAGGCUAUAAGGUAACAAAAGCAGCUUUUUUCUUUUCUCUUAUAUAAAUUCUUCUUAGCUAGUUUUCUUAGCUAUUAUUAUUCAUCAUAUUUAAUUCCCAUUGUCCUUUUGAUAAUUUUUUUCCUUGUACUGUAAAAUGAAAAAUGAUGCAAGUUUCCACUCUAGAAUGCAUGGCAGUGCUAGAAACACAUCAUUUACUAACCAUGAGUAUUGAUUGAACUGCGGGGAAAUUAUUGCUUAAUUUAAAGAUGUGAAUGCUGUAGUUUGACCUGAUGACUAUAAAAUUCUCUGUCAAGUGUCAGACAUAUUACUAAUUAGAUAAAAUGGCCCACAGAAAUACUUUGAUGAUAGUCACAAUUUAGUAUGCUCCUGCAAAUGAAUUCUCAGACUGUAGUGUAAUUAACUUGUCAAUGUAUAAGUCUUUACACUUACUGCUUAGGGUAUUGUCUGGAAUUAUGAAAUAAAAUCUUGUUGUUGUAGGGCAACAGGAAUUCUACAUAGUGAAAAUAUUACCUAGAUGAGUUCAACAUUUUACGUCUUUGUAGUGCAAAGCGAUAAGUUACAAAUGGAUAUGAGAUCUCAAGAGCAACUUCAGGUUUAAAAACAAGGGAUGGACUACCAAGGCUAAGAAGUUUAGUAAUGUAUAAAUUCCCUUAUUAUUCCCAUUUCAGAUAUCUUAACUGGUUGUGCAUGAACAAUUCAGAAACUAUACUGAGUUUUUUUUUCUAUCUGUUGGGGACAUCUCCAUUAAAUAAUAUCAAUUUCCCCAUAUAUUUUAUAUUUCCACAAUAUGCAAUCCUGUAUUAUAUACACAUAUUUUAAAAAAAUCAUCAGAGUUGGUAUUAAAUUAAAUAAACGUGUACUAUAUAAUGAUCUGUAGAAAGUAAUGUGUAUGUUUGCCAUUACACAAGUUUGAGAAACAUAAUUUCUAUCGGAAGAUGUCUCCCUAUUAAAAUUAAAUGCAACAUAUUUUUCCGUACACAGAUGGAUUUUAUUCUGUAUUUCAUGCUGUAAGCAGUAUUUAAUUACUGAAAACAUGUUCAUCAGCUUACUAGUUUCUCAAUUGUCUCUUGCCCUCUUCACUUGGUUUCUUCCCUCCCAUCUCUCCUCCUCCAAAUGGUAAAAAUAAAUAAAGGAUGAGCUUCUGGUGUUUUCUAUAGAAAGUUAAGCUUUGCUGACAUUGACUAAUUUAUUUUACAGCUCACAUGCAUUUUGAAUUUAAAAUUUAAUCUGUUCAAAUCAGCUUGCAUUACCAGAGAAUUGUGCUUAGCAUGUUCCAUGAAUGAUUCAGUAGAUCUUAAUAGCUACCUUCGUAAUUUCUUAUGAAUCAUUGAAAGAGAUCACAUUAGUAAACAUUAGUGGUAAGUACUAAGCACGUUUUUCAUGCAAUCGUGUUUCAUGAAUGUAGUUGGUUCCAAAAUCUAUGUGUAGUUGUCAUGUGAAAAACUGCGUCUUGCAUCUUGUGUUUAUCGUGCUUGAAGAACACAGUGCUUGAUAUUUUUCCUUUCUUCAACUGAUCCGACUAGCCUGCUACUGCAGCACCCACAGCACAAUCACACAGGCUGCGAUACUCCAUGGACCAAAUGUAAAUGAUAUAAAUGUACCUCUUACUUCCAUAUAAAGCCUUUCUUCUAUUGGACUCACUUAUUUUUUAUAGUACUUCUGAAUUUCUGGGAAGACAAAUAUUUUUAAUAGCAAUUGGACAAAUCAAAAUAGCUCGUAGAAAUAACAAUUAUUAAGAGAGGUGGUUGUUUUGUAAACUUUAUGUCCCGGGGACAUUAAAAUAGCUCUUAAUUCAGCAGUAAGCUAGUGGAAUACUUUUUCUUAAUUAUGGUUCCCAUGAAUGUUUUAAUUAUGAAUGAAAAAUGCCAUUGUUCCUCGAGAGAUUAUAUUAUAUUGCAUGAUAUUAUUUAUUUAUUUCCAUCUGGAAAUAUUUAUUCUCCUCUUUUUUUUUUUUUAUUAUCUGCACGUUGAAAAGCUUCAUUAAACUUAAUAGUUGCAGUUAUUGUCUAUCACUUGUACUUACAAUCUUCCUUUUUGUUUUCAAUUUAUAUAAAUCCUAACACAGGCACCUUUUAAAAGUUGCAUUCAUUUAAGAAAGUUAUAUGGCACUAAGCAAGAAUAGGCUAGGUUUUAAUAUCAUAUAAUAUUCUGGUGUUUUCAUUAAACUGUUUCAAGUGUGACUCUUAUUAUAGCAUUGUUAUUGUAGUAACUGAACCUGUAGUCCACAAGUUUCUAAAUCAAUGGGUGGAUAAUAUAGAUUUGAAUUUAGGAAUGUCGGUGUAACUACUUACUUACCUUUUGUACCUUUCCUAUUCAGAAUAAUUGCAAUAUAAGUAGUGUUUCUCUUUAAAUUGUGAGAUGAAGGACCUGUAAUCCCUAACCCCUCAGAAACUGUUGCAUGCAGACCUCUGCAGAGCACUCAGAAUCAAGUGUGGUCAUCAGUCAUUAGCAAAAUCAGUCACACAUUGUUUUACUGACAGAGAGAUGUAACUUCACGCGAUAAGUUCAAAGUAUGGCAGUCCAAAGGGGUGGAGACAAGGUGCAUUUUUCUAAAAUUUAAAGCUGAUUUCCAUCGGUGUCAGAAAGUUUUAUCUAUACUUGUCUGUAACUGAAAUGAUCAAGUAACCCUUGUUGUGGUACCUCAAAAUUACUUAGCAUGCUUUUCACUACAGAGCAUGUUAAAACUCUGUCUACUGUAUUAUACUGUGGUGUAAUAAUAUAAAUAUAUUGCUAUAAAUAUCCACUAUUCAUUACAAUUCUACUUUGCAUUUUCUUUCUUUUAAUGCUAUAGCAUCCCAGAAUGCUGUGCAAUUGUGGUGUGCAGGAAUAACUGCAUAAAUGAUAAACAACCUGUCCAACAACCAAGGCAUCUGCUUUCUGAAGCAGGGAAGAUGAGUUGGAUCUUGAGCAGAAGACAUGGAUCUUCAGUAUAAUACAUUAGAUUCCUGUACAAAUAGGUACCAGCUUCAGGUGGACUGCAGACCUUUAAGGCAGCCUGCGGUAGAAUCUCCUUCUUUCCAGCGACCGUAGAGAGAUCACUGGGAGUUGUUCUAGUAGGACUUGUGUUUAUCAUCUUCUACCACUUGCUCAAAUAACUUGAUGCUCAGUUACCCUACUUGUUGCAGCACAACAGGAACAGAGACCUCCUUAUUUCACUUAGGCAAAUAUUAAUAACAGAAAGUCUGCGGAAGAGAGAGAGUAAGAAGCAGCCACUACAUAAAUGAUGCAGUGAGAUCAUGCAGCAGAGGUAGACUACAGCCAAUAGAUAAGGAAUAAUAAGGAAACUUUGCAUCUUUCAUCUACUGGAGUAAAUAAUAGGACUGACAACUGCCUCACUAUAUAUGGCUUUGAUUUUCAUCUUUGACAUUUUGUGAUAUGUUUGAUACAGACAGGACUCUCUUGUGGAAGCGCCGAACACUUAAAUCUGCAAAUUAAGUUCCUCAGAGAUAUGGUGGACAUUAAAUCUUAACAUUUUUUUAAAAAAGAGUAGGAUCUAAAUAUCCCAAGUUAGACACUAAGAAUCCGGGGAUUCAUUUUCUGUUGUCUUGGCUCUUACCAAUAAAUUAAUUUACCACCUCACAAAGAAAUGGAAUGCUAUCCAGUCCAUCCAGGGUAUUACUUAAAGUACACAUAACCAAGUUGACUGGAGGUGAGGCAAAAAUGUCUAAUUCUGACACUUCCCAAAAUUUCGAGUGUUUGCCCUUGCAACUGUGAUUCUUCAUAUUAUUUUUGCCUUUGGGAUGUUAUAUUAUGAAUAACUCAAAACAACAACAACAAAAUCUUAUUUAAAAGUGUUUAGAAAUUGUUAGAAAACACUUCUGCAUGUCAGGCAUGAAUUUUCCUCUUCAACAAGAGGUCAAAUUAAAUCCACAAGAAACAAAUUUGGUCUUAAUUUUGAGAUGUAAACAGUAAUUUAAGUAAAAUGUACCAUAUGUCUUUUGACAUUCAAGCAAGUCUUUCAUUUUCUAGAACAGAUCCAUUGUGUUCAGCUUAAGAACAGGUGCUAAAUUUCAACUUUAUUCGGGUAUUUCCUGAUUUCUUACUUCCUAUCAUAAUUCUGGUAUUAUAAAAAAAUAAAUAUUGUGUAGGUAUAUAAACAGGGUUAUAUUUAACUUUUUCUUUGGAAGGGUUAUAUCGGAGAACACUGAUUUACAAAGAUUGCUGCAAAAGCAGUGCCUCCUAUUUAUUUCAAUGGAAACUGCAACAGAUACAAAGAGCACAAUAACAGUAUUUGAUAGAGAAAAUUUUCAACUACAAAACUCGAAUGUUAAAAAACUGUAAAACAUAUUCCAGGAUUUUCAUCCAAUCAGAAUUCUUUGCCAAAUUUCACUUGAAAUCACAGGUAAUAUAGCUACGUCUAAAAAGGACAUUUUUAGUCAGAUUUACUCUCUGCCAAGAAAAUGUCUCUAUCUUUGCCAUUGUGUCCCAACGUUUAGCAGAAUUACAACUUUUAAGGCCAAGAAAAGAUUGUCUUCCUGUACUCUUCUAGGCCAUUGAGAAUGUGGGAUACCAUAGCUGAUUAAAAAAAUGACUUUGCAAUGUUAUCUAAGGUACAGCUAUCAUUAGUUUUGAUUACUGUAUAUAAAACUAAUCAGAAGUAGUGGUGAGAGAGCUUAUAUAUGCACAAACUUUUUUCACUGUUUCAAAUAUACUAAAGUAGGCAUGAAAGACAAAGGAGAAUUUUGGGGAAUUUUAAAGCCACAUUAAUUUUCAGAACAUAUGCUUUUUUCUGUUUGCUUUUAUUGACAAUGUUUCCUCCAGAACAAAAGAGCUGAUUGUGCAAAUGAUACUUUUGCAGGUAAUUAGUCUCUGACAUUUCUAUAGAUCAUAUUGGGAUUUUGCAAAUAGUUUGAAAUAAUUCAGCACCAAGUGUAGCUGUUUCAUUUCUUUUUUUUCAUGGAUCUAUUUCACAGUAAUAAUUUACAUGUUACAUUACCUGCAUGUAAAUUACGAUUUGUUUAAUUGGUAUGAGUACAGACAAUGUAGAAUUGAAUUGAACGCACCUGCUAAUUUUUCUCUCUCAUUCCAUCUUAUGUUUGCUCAUGAUUUUCACAUUGCUUUUAGGCAUUUUUGUAAUAUCAGGAAUAACUAGCACCUUACACUGCCCCUAAGUGUGCAGACUGCCACAUUCUCAGCUGAAAAAGCACUAUUUUUCAACAGUCAUCACCAUUAGCUCUGCACUUUCACUAGUGCACAAGAGCCUGUGUGUUGCACAGGUAAACGUGCACCAGCAGAGGUUACCCGCUGUCACUGUCACCACUGCUGAAAUAGACCACCCACAGCUUCACUGCACUCAAAUUCUCUCUUUGGUCUCCAGAGCCGUUCAGCAAGUGUUACUGAAUGUCAGUGGGUGCCAUUUUUUGCUCCUGAAGGAACUCAGUGACACACCUUUGAUCCAACCACACUUCCAUGUCAGAUGCCACUGUCAGACUGCCCCUCUGCUGCCAUCUGUCACACAGCAACAAAAUGUAAUGGAAUGUUGGUGGGAAGGUUCAACCUCUACUGCCAUACCACCACCAUCUGCCUCUGAUGUCAUGGGUCAACAUAAUAAAACAGGAGGCAUUAACUUUGGAGCAGCCCUCAUAGUAUGUUAUGAGAAGAGAAUAGAACAGCUACAGCCUUCAAAUUCUGAUGAUUAAAAUAUUGCAUAAAUCAAAUAAAGGCAUGUGUUUGAUUCCUGUUUCUAGUUACCCUGGCCAGUUACCCAAAUACUGCAUUAUUACCAGUGGAUCUCCUAUACUGCUAGGAAGGAAGGUGAAGUAAUGCCCCACUGUGUGGGCCAAAUAUAGCUCCUGCAUUUAGGGUGUUUGUCAGACUGUAGGUUGCAAAACAAGUGUGAGGGAUGUCUGUAUUAUGUCAGAUCUGGACAUCACAUCAUCAGAGCAUUUCAGCAUGCGUUUAAGUUCUUCUGAUGCAGCAGAAUGAAAGCUCCUCUAUCAGUUGAGUGCCUUGAGUCAUAACCCCUUCCUUUUGAACUCUUGGGGGCACAGGAAUAGAUGACAUUGCUCUGAGAAGCCUUGGUGCAAGAUUAGCUUCUCCUUGCAGGGUCUGUUGGUGCUGAGCCCUGCAGAGCCCUUCAGGAAUGGGUGCUGAACUUGUGGAGCAGUGCUGUACUGACAAUCAGAAUGCUCCCCUAAUGCUUUUAUCUAAUGUUUUUAUUGUUUUGCCUGUAUGUUGCUUAGGCCUUUGUUUUUCAUUUUCAGUCAGCUUUACUAUGGAUUACUAUAGCAAGAGCAGCAGCGCACUAGAUUUAAUUUAAUUUCUUUCUUUCAGGGAGGAGCAUGUGCAGCUAUCAGCCUGAGCUGCAGCUUGUAAGACAGUGUUACAAGGAGUCUGACCUUGGAAAAGUAUGUUCUUACGUCUCAUGUCUGAGAUUGAUGUUACUGAUAGGUAAUGAGCUGUGUGCUGCAUUUUCAAAGGAAUAACUCUCGAUGCAGAUAUUCACUUUAAAAAUGCCGCAUGUCACUCCUUUCACAGCUCACAGAGUUCAGAAAUAGAGAGGAGGUGUAAGGCUUGGAGAAGUGUAAUUAAAUUGUGAUUGUAUCCUCUUGUUGGAAGGAACACCAAGCUGUUAGCAAUUGAAAAUUAAUAUACCUUGCCAACUGUUUGCCCUGGAUGAAAGAGUUGGCAAUUGCGCUGUAGUUCUCAGUGACCAGGUAUCCCCAUGACACAUAUCAUGAUGACAGUGUAUACAAAUUGCCAAUAUAUUUUGGAUUCUCAGAGAAGAUGAAGCACAGCGAAAGAAUUUACUUUACUACAACACUACCGUUUGUCGUCUGUACUCAGCGUAGAUGAUAGAAGAUGUUGUUGAGGAAUUCUCAGCUGUUGCUCUCUUUUGAUCUUUUUGAACUGAUCUGUAAAGAGCUUCCUAGUUUUCAUAAUUGCUUAAUCAAUCUUGAUUAUAUUCCUGGACCACUCUUAUUUAUUCAAAAAAAUUGUUUUUGUAUGCCAUACAAGAUGUCUAUGAAACGUCAUUUCGCCUGAAGACACUACACUACUUUGUUGCUGGGCUAAUUAUUUACAGUCAUUUUGAAAACAAGGAGUCUUAUAAAAAAAAUAAAUCAGUUUCAUUACUGACUUCUGUUUGCUGAGCAGAGAUUGUAUCAUUGUAUUUUUCUCUGAAGAAAGCAUGCUUUAUUCAAACUUGACUUUUAUUAGCCUGUAGCAGCUAAGAAACAUUAAAAGCGCCGUUGAUGAAACUAAAAGAGCUGUUUCUUUAAAAGAAGAAAAAAAAAUGUAAGUAGGUCUGGAAGAGUAUUUAGAAGCAGAAAGAAGUUAAAAAAAAAAAAAAAAGAUUCAAUUAUUUGUAGAAAGCCUUUAGACUUAAGCAAGUCAAAUGCAUUUUAUGCUUUCAUCACAUGGACCCACAGCAGUAUAUCAUUUCAUAAACAGGUCCAGAGGUAAGCUUCUGAGUAACACGUAAUUCUGAUUUCAAGCCCUAUUAAGAGGAUUUGUAUCUGUAAUAUAAAAGUAGCUCUUUGAAGAAUCUUGAUGAAGAUCGUAUUGUAAUCUGUUCUAGGCAGAUUCAUAGAUUAACAAACAGCUUUGUUAUGGUGAUGGAUAACAGGCUCAGUAAGAUACACUAAGUCAGAAUAAUUCUAUCAGUAUAAAUAGAAACAGUAAAAGUACUUUAAGUGAACUAAAAAGCAGGAAUGUUUUUCUCCUAGUAGCGACUAGUUAGGUAUUUUUUCCUCAAGAAUAAUUGUGCUUAUAUUAAUUUAGAAUAAGAAACAUUGCCAAACCAUCUAUUGUAGUCUGAUACUUAGAUAUGCUGCCAGAAGUUCAUCAUUCAAAACAGCUUUUGGAACGUUCUUAAAUUUAGAAAGAGGGGCUUUCUUCUAUCUUUUCAGUUGUGAAUAGGCACAGGUGGGAAGGAGGCUCAAGUGGGAUUUGAGAUUUAUGAAGCCCGACUGCACAAGGCCAUUAAAAACUCAGUUGAUGUCACGAGUCAUGGUUGGACAAUUCAGUUACUGCCCAUGACCUUCCCCUACUAAUUUCAUCAGUUAUUUCUGCCCACAUUAGCAGAGAUUACAUCUCCAGCUAUAAAGGAAUGAUUACGUUUCCACAUCAUAUGGAAAAAAAUUGUGACAGAUGUCACAUUUUGGUACAUUCCAUAAGGAUCGGUGUCUAUACUUACAGAAUCAGGUGCAUAAAGUAAAAAGGAAAAUCUUUAUACCUAUUUAUACUAGAAAAUAAGUAAGUGUAUAAUUCUGGUGAUAUUUCAGUGUUACUACUAUUAUUUGUUUUAAGCGAUGCGUGCCAUUUUAUUUUACAAAACCCCGAAAAUGAGCGUCAGGUUUUAUGAAAGCAUUAUGUUUUGAAAUAUUUUCUUUCUUAAAUAAUUCUCCACUGUAAGUAAGGCGUAUAAUAAAUCGUGAUUUAUACUGAAGGCAAUUCUUUUUUAAGACAGUAUGAAGAAAAUGGCUUCUAUCGUUUGAAGCAACUAUUAGUUUUGCAUUUUCGUUUUGUGAUUGUUUCAGCUUUGCAUGAUGAUAAUGUUGAGACUCUUCCUUCACUACUGUCAAUAUCUUGGAAUGAUAUAUGAGGACACAUUAACUUUUCUUAAAUAAUUCCAGUAUUUUGCAGGUGGCCUUUGUGCAUUUACGCGAGUCCCUUGACUGCGUGUGGCAUCUGCCAUCUUCUGGAUUUUGUCGAAAUUGCUUGCUGCCUAAAUGAGCUUUAAAAUACUGGGAGUGUGGUUUCUUCAUCUAUGUAUCUAUUGCAGAAAAUGAGUACAGUUGAUGUCUACACACAGGCUAGCGUAUCAGGGGAAGUAGCCCUCAUUUCUUCACCUCAUUGUAGUGGUGUACAGUGCUUUUAUUUUUAUGGUCUGGUGAGGUCUUAAGCAGUAUUUCUGUGUCCUGCAUCAUUUUAACUAAUAGAUUUUUUUGCUGCAAAAUAGUUUUGCAUUUUGACUAGGCCAUGAAAAGCAACACAGGGGAUUAAAACAGUAAGCUACCAAAAUGAAUAAAUAAAUUAAAAAUUGAGAAACAUACACAGAGUUGUUUAAAUGGGAGAAAUGUACACAUUACGGAAGAAUCAGAGAUGUGGUAUGAAUGUUUUUGAAGCUAGUAAUUUCAAGCAGUUAAAUAGUCUUGAAAAAGUGCUCAGAUGUUCUGUGUGCCUGAUGACAUGAAGGGAAGUGAAGUUUGAGUUACUGACUCUAAAAAUGAGUUAUGACCCCUGUCAAGGCCCCGUAAUUUCAGUGCCCUUCAGUCCCUGUCACAAUUCCGUCUCACUUCUACAUGCAUUAAUGUGCAAUAACCUUUUCCAAAAUAGAAGUACUCCCAGGCUUGUACACUCUCCUUGGCUUCACAGUCCUCUCUUGCUGCUCAAGUCUUGCUACUUCCACUUUACAGCUCAGUCUGAAACCUAAAAAAUGACCAUAUGCUGCUUUGUUGGUUUAAAAUGGCAAGUAAGAAUGAUUUAAUAUGUGCAAGAAUACUUGAACCUGGUUUUAAAAUUAGGCUCCUGCUUAAUUACAGCUUGCAGUAGAAAAAUAAAAUUUUCCUGUACGGAACACCCUCAAUAUUUCACCUUAUGUAAAUGAUAUAUCUUGCUACUUCAGCCUUUUGCUUAUUUUUGUUUAUUAUUAUUAGCAGGUUUAAUUUGAUCUUUUGUCUGUUUUCCAUUAUGAGCUGUUUCCUUUAAUGAGAUUUGAGUUCUAAAUGGGAUUUUAGAUUUUAUGCAUGAAUUAUACACAAGCUUCAAGAUAACUGGAAGAUCAUUUUCUUUAGGUCUGAUGAUGCUAUAGGGAAGUCUGGAGGUUAUAGCAGAGCUUGCAUUUUGAUGUGACACAAGAGAAAUUUCAAGUAGAAAUGCAUGAAAAUGAUGUCAAAUCUCAAAUCUGUCCCUUCAGAUAUUCUUUCUGCACUUGCUGUUUCUCUUCAAGUAGUGCUCUCUGCAGGCUGUCAAAGUCCUCAUGGCAGCCAGCAAUUACUUCUUUUAACUCUUUUCCAAAAUAUGUUUUCCCUGGAGAAUGUCAGCUUCCAGUUCAGAAAGGCAAACUGCUUUUUUUCUCAAUUCCCUGAUGGCAACGUGCUGGCUGAUGAGCUGAAGGAUUUUUACACCCUAUUAGCUGCAAAAGAAGGAAAAAAACCUCUGCUCUUGAGAUUUGUCUAAGUGAACUCAGCUUAAUUUUUUUUUUUUUAAUGCAAAAUAGAAUCCUAAUGAAAGAGCAAGAGCCUUAAAGCCACACUAUGUGGGUCUCUGUUAGUAUAACCUUUUAAAGCCUCUAGAUAUACAUACUGAAUGAAGCAUGAGAUGGAAGGAAAAAGAUGAAAAAAUAGAAUAGUAGCUUUAAAAUGAUUGGUGUGUAAUUAGAGCAGAACAAGUAACUAAAUGAAAAGCCUCUCUCAGCAGUUCAUUUUAGGCCAUGGAGGCACUUGAGGAGGUUAUAAACUGAAUCAGUGAGAAAAUUAAGCAUUGUUCCAUGAACACAGAAUUGAAGUAAAUAUCAUAAGGCAAAACAGUAUUCAAGUCAGCUUACAAAGCCCAUCCUAGGCGAAAUACUCCCUUCAGUUUUCGCAACUUCAGAGAUGUGGUCCUAUAGAACUUCUCUCCUCAGUCUUUGUAUAGAUUCCUUAUGCUUUAAACCAACUAGAAUGUAAAACAUCCUCAGCCAAUUGAACAGAAAAGUCUGCAGCACAUCCCUUUUCUCUAACAUGCCAUUCAAUUAUGUGUCUGCUUCUCAAAUGCUACAGUUUGGUUGAACGUACAUUUCUCAGGAGGUACAGUUGUAUUCUUCAAUCAAAUGCAAAACAGUGUUCAUCCAAAGCAUUGUUAGCCAAGAGAUGCACAACCAUGAAAUGCAAACAAUUUAAAACACAGAAGUUAGGGGCAGAAACCAGCAAUAUGUCAAUUCCCAAACCACGUAAAUAGCCUUCUCAUCUCGGGGGGGGGGGGGGGGUGGUGAAGCAAUCACUCAGGGCUGUAUUUUGAAAUCUUCUGGAAUAGGAAAGCAACUUAAGAAAAAAAAAAAAUACACAUCCAAAACCUGUUCUCAGAGGAGUAGCCAGUAAAUAUAUUUUUAUAUGCAGUUAACUUACUUGCCAUUAACAUUUUUUAUGUACCACAUCAAAGCAAACAUAUGGAAUUAGGUUCGCUUUCAUGUUAUAUUUAAAUAGUAUUUGCUUUAAUGGGAAUGACUUUCCUCUUACCCUGUAAGAGUUAAAGGAGUUCAUUCUUGUCACUAUUUCAACUCUUUCUUCUGUGUUGCAAACAAAAAACUCAGUGACCAAAUGAGGUUUGAUUCAGAUCACAGUAUUACAUAAAGAUGUAUUUUCAACUAACUUCAGUGUGGUAAGCCUUUGCAAAAUAAGUCUUUCUUAUUAAAUGGCUUGAUGGAAGGGGCUGUUAUGAUUUUUUUUUUCUGUGGAAAUGGGCACUGGGAGUCUAAUUAAUGGUAAGACCUAGGACUAUACUAUUGCUGGACAAGCACAAGCAUGUGUUGCUGAAACUGACUGCUUAGUUUUGCUUAAUCUGACUUAGAGGCAGCAUUGGAGGAAUAGAUUGUGUCUGAUGUAGCUCAAAUAAAAGUAUCAAGGUAAUGUCAAUUAAAACAUAGGUAGUGAGUGUGGUACCUGCACAAUUAUCAGUUAUAUAAGCUUACACUUCAUUCACAGAAACGUGUUUCUUUACUGUGGAUUGACUAGAAUACUGGCUCUGUAAUGAAGAGCUUUAAAAUAAAGUGAGCAGAAGAACUGAUGCAGUCUCCUUAAAUAUUUUUAAUAAGUAGAAAGGUAACUAUCAGAUGAAGGAUCAGUAGUAGGUGUGACAACAAGUUGUAAAGAUAAAUAAAACAAACAUUUGUAAAUGAUCCAGAUAAGGAAAGGACCAUAGCGAACAUGGCCUGCAACACAGCUCAAGGGUUUUUACCUAAGUGUGAAAAAUUGGGGUGUGAAUUACUGUACACUUGGAAACUGGGUACUGUUGCAUUCACAGAUAUGUGGUUGAGGAAGUAAUAAUAGUGGCACAGAUACUGAAGUGUUCUGUAUGUACUGUGUUAUAACAAAGAGCGUAGAUAAAACAUUUUUAUUUGAAUCAAUAUCACUUUCAGGAAAGAGAUUAUAUUGAGAUAAUGCUGAGAUAGAGAUUUUAAUGUGGAAUGUGGUUUCUUUAAAUUUCAUCAAGAGAAAAUACUAGCCAGUAUAGAUGUCUUCAGUUACAAAUUUGAGAAGAAAUGUUACCAACAGUGGUAGAACACAAUUUUCUCAGAAAUGAAAGCAACAUUUUUUCAUUGAAGAGCAUAUAAACAACAAGAAGAAAUAUUAUAUAUAUAUAUAUUUAGUGACAGAAUUUUUUUUAGGAGAGCUGUUAGAAGAAAAGAUCCUUAGCUGAUGUGGUCACACAUUAUAGUCCACCCCAUCCCAAUUAAAAAAAUACAGAAAGUCUUUGUGCCUUAACUAGAUCAUUUGAUAGUUCUGAAUAGGACUUUUAGACAUGUAGAGAACUGAAAAUUGAGUAGGCAGCAAUGAAAGUCCAUUUUAAAAGUCAGGAAGUACAGUGAAAAAGAGAGCUUCCUAAAAUGAAGCUGAGUUCUUUAUUAGCACAAUAAGAAAAAGGAGAAAGAGAAAUUAUUGUAACAAGUAGCACAUAACAUGACUGUAACAUCAAGAUUAAAGGUAGAGUUGGAGUGACCUCAUACGUAAACAAAUGCUUGAGUCAGUAUUCAGUAAAGACGAUGAGAGGAGACCUUAUAGCUCUCUACAAGUCCUUGUAAAGAAGUUGUGGUGAGAUGAAGGUCAGCUUCUUCUUCCUAGUGACAGGACAAGAGGAAAUGAUCUCAAGUUGCGCCAGGGGAGAUGCAUGUUGGAUAUUAGGAAAAAAUUCUGCUCAGAAAGAGUGGUCAAGUGUUGGAAUAGGUUGCCUAGGGAAAUGGUGGAGUCACCGUCCCUACUGUUGUUUAGGGAAAGGCUAGAUGUGGUACUUAGGGACAUGGUGUAGUGGGCAAUAUUGGUGGUAGGUAAACAGUUGGACUGGAUGAUCUUAGAGGUAUUUUCCAACCGUAAUGUUUUUCUGGCUUUGUGAUUUUAUGAGCAUGGAGCCACAGGCUAGGUGACUAAAUAACUAGAAUGACUACAUAAAACAGAAAUUAGCUUAUCCAAGAGGCAAGAAGGACUGUAAUCUUAGUAAAUGAGGACUAUUUUUUUUUGAUCCUGGGGUACUGGAUACAGAGAAAAUGUAUCAGGGAAUAUGUAUGUGAUAAUGACUGUCAAGCCAUGACUUGAGUAUCAUGGAUAACAUUGGGGGAACAAAGAGUAGCAAGUGUUUUAUAAAUAUUUAAAGAAAAAAAUAAUCCAAGGAGCUACAGAACUUUUAAUGAUGGUUCAUGAUAUACUUUGGAAGAAAAAAUUUGGAGGUAAAUAAGUGAUGAGAUAAAAAAUGAUGUGGUAGUUUAUAAGUUACUGUCUUGACAAGACAGUUGUGCUUCUUGCAGAAGAAAAUAUAGUAGAUGACAAAAAUUCAUAGAAUCACAUAAUAGCUUGAGUUGGCCUGCUUGCAAGUCAUGAGACUGCCUCUUCUUUUAUUGCUCAUCUCAACAGUGCAUGCUCCCUAGCAGUCUCGUCUUCAGCAUUAGAGUAAGGCCUUUGGUUUUGGACACUCUCAUUUAUUAGGUUUAUUAUCCUUAAUCCCAAUUAACUUAUAUUUCUGCUAUAAUAAUUAGUAAAUUAACUUUCCUCCUCAGAUCAUUGUCACUGUUUUUCUCCUUAUUUACUAUUAUUCCUUUUCCUCUUCUGC